UUUUUUUUUUUUUUUUUUUGUUAAAAAUUUUCAAGAGUUGUCAAAGGAGAAAGAAGCCAGUGAAGAUAAGGAAUGGUUCAAUCUUAACUGUUGUUCAAGUUGGAUAUCAAAGAGAUAAAAGAGAGUAAGAUACGAGAAGAAAGUCUUGUCCUCUUUAAUUACACAAUAGGACAUUUAUAUGAGUAUCUCAGGGUGCUAGUGGAGGCACCCCAAUUAUAGAAGGAAGUGUUACGUAAAGACACCACAAUUAUGAAUAAGUCAUUUCUUAUCUCCUGAUGAAGAUAGCAAAAUAACAAUAUAAAAUGCUAUAACAUAUGAUAGUUGUUGAAAAUAGUUGAUGGUAUGGUGGAGAUAUCCUAGCGGAGAUUGAUAUAUCAAGUUUCCAUCAAUAAACCCAAAACAUAACUCAUUUGAAUCAAACAAUUAAUGUUAGCUAGAUGUAAAAUUUAAGUUACAAUUGUUGCAACCUUUACUUUUACCUUAGUAAUAAAAUCGUGACCUCUAUCUUUUAUUUACUAAAAAAAAAAGACAAGGAUGUUGAUUUAUGAAAUUUCCUUUCCAUCUUUUGUUGAAUAUGAUUGCAAAGAUACUGAUGGAAAGGUGUGGUGUGACAAAGCUGCUUAUCAAAGCUUGUAUCAUUUUCCACCAUAUAUAGUUUCCUUGCCUUUAGCAAACUUGACCUUUUGGUUUGCUACUCUUGAGUGAGAAUUUCUUUUAUUAGAUUCGAAUUGAGAUGUUUGAAUUAUUAUAAAUAAAAUAUAAAAUUAAAUUUGAAUUGAUUUAAUUUUUUAUUUUUAUAAUAAAAUUUUUAAAUAUUUUAUAUUUAAAAUAAUAAAAGUAACUUAAAAAAUAUUAUAUAUAUAUAUAAAUUAAUUUAAAUAAAGUUAAUUGUGCAAGACGUCCCUUAAAUUAUAGCCUUCAUUUUAAAUUGGUCCCUAAACUUCAAAACUAAGAUUUUUAAAACAUUCAAUUUUACGGUAUUCAUUUUUCUUAAAAUUUUCAUUUUAAAUUAUGUUAGAUAAGAUCUAAUGUGCUAUUUAACAGUUAAAUUAAUGAUUUUAAUAACAGAAGGACCUAAUUGAUAUAAAUCAAAAGUUUAAAGAUAUAAUUAGAAUAAUUUAAAAUUUGAAGGACCAAUUUUAAAAUAAAAGUGAUAGUGUGGAAGAUGUGUAAUGCAAUUCACUCUAAAAAAUACCAUAAGAAAGUUAUUAAUAAUUAUUUUUACUUGAAAAUUUAUUUUAAAAAUAUUAUUGAAAAAGAAAAACUUCAAAACUUUAUCAAUUACAUAAAUGAAAACACAUUUUUAUCAAAAUAAAGUAAAAGAAAUGGUAUAAUAUAAAUACCCUUUUAAUAAAUACAUACAUGGUAAUGAAAUUACAAAUAUAUAAAUUAUGGUUGUCUUCAAAUAUAAAAGGAUUCUGAAGUUCAACCCUGGCAGAGUUAGGGCCACAAAACAUCUCCAACUAUCGAGGGGCAGAAAUCAUAAAGAAAGCAGGCCACCAUCACUGCCAAUCCAUGAUUUGAUCUUAGUGCAUUUAACUGCAUGAUUUUUGGUCCCAUAAAGGCUGAAGCCAAAAAUUCAACACAUGUAUUGUCAUUUUCAUAAUAAAGUUGAAUUUAGCUGCUCAAAUAGUGCUUUAAAGUUACAAAAACAAUGAUUCAAAUCCUCUCAUCUCACUUUACCCCAUAAUUAAGUGAAAGAACGUCUUCAAAUUGGUGGACUUCAUUGCUGGUGUCCACUAAAUUUAUAUCUCAUGUGCGUGAUUUUUAUACACCAAUAUGCUACGCUUGUUUUGCUGUUUAAUUAAAUCUUCAUAACUCAAUUACCCAAACUGUAAGCUACUUCAAUGCGAGGCAAAACUUACCAUCUUUUUCUCUUAAGGGAUAGUCGGACGGAACUGCUACUAUUCAUUUUCGUCAGAAGCAAGAUUAAUUGGCACUCAACAUCUUUCAUAGAGCCUUUCAACUAUGAUGAAACGAUGAUCGCUUGUCAAGUCAACCUACGAUAUGAUGACAUUGCUAACCUAUAAGGUUACAUCAUCACCUUCACUAGGGGACAAGACGGUGAUCCAUACACAAGCAAUAGGCGUACAUGUGGUAUCCCAAACCUUUCAUAUAAAAGCUUUCUCACUUCUAUAGAAAGAGAACAUAUAAGAAAAAGCUCUCUUCACCGCUGCUAGCCUUCCUCUUUAUUGAUUCCCAGUAUCAACAGGAACUAAUUCCAACAACACUUUGAAUUGAGAUCAUCAAGAGGCUCCAAAAUAUCUAAAAUUCGUAAUACAUUAAGGAAGAAUACAAGUGUGGUAUUCUCUUAUCAUACCACAUACAAAUUUGGGUUCUUAAGAUUGGUGUUAAAAUCUUCAUUAGAUCAGUAAUACCGUUAUUGAUUGAGAUGGAAGACUGGCAAAAGAUCUAUAUUCAAAAUUUUAGUUGAUAACAAUAUGAGUACAAUCUUUGAACAACCCUUAUCCCUUCCUUUACACAGCCUCGACAUAAGCAUCUCAAUAAUCUUAAACUGCUUGUAGAAAAGGUUGGAAAGUUUGAGAUAUUUCAAAAGAAUUAAAUCACACAUUCCUUCAGAAAACCUUGAGACCUUUUUUAUAAGUCAUUAUGCUUCAUUAGGUUAAUACAAGCUAAGCUGAAAGGGUGUAUUUGCACAUUAGGCCUAAAAGCUCUCCUUUUUAUAAGGGAUCAGCUUGUUGAAUCCUAGAGAAUAUGUUAUACGACAAAAUAAUUUUAAGUUGCGUGAAUUCAUAUAUAAUUAUUGAAAAAUUAGUGAGCCUUAAAUUAGACUUUAAUAAAGUAAAAUUCUUACUGUAAAUUUACUCAUAACCUAGUUCAUAUUAAUUUUACUUUUAAUAUGAGUUGGAUCAAACCCAAGUUAAAAAGACUAAAGUUUUAAUAAUAAAUUAUUAAAUUGAACAUUGGUUUAACAUGAAUUUUGUUUAAUAAUUAGACUCAAUUGUUAAAAUUGUAUUAAACUGCAACUAUGAUGAAAAUUUCUUAUAUGCCAUCUUUUCGGAUUUGAAUGAAUAUGUAAGUUUAGUAUAUUUAUUUUCAAAAAUACUUUGAAUUGUAUGCUUAUAUAUUUGUAAGUUGAAUUUAUGUUAAACAUGAUUUAUGACAAGUAUAUAUUUUUUGCAUUAGUGAUAAUCUCAAAAUUGAUUGUUGGGAAUAAGUGUGAUAGCAUGAAAGCAUAGGUCUAGGAACGAUGCUGGCUAGGAAAAACUCGAUAUUUAAGAGGAUCAUGUACAUCACAUUUCUUUCUUCGAAACUUAUUUGAUUUUUAUUCAUCAACUAUGCUCAUUAUUCCAGUAUCUAAUUGUGAUGAUAAACUGAGUCAUUAUAUAACAUUGUGCAAAAACGAAGAAUGAAGAAAUGAUAAUAUUGUUAAGCCAAUCAUCAAUUUGGUUGAAAUAGAUGAUACAAUUUUUUAUUUUCACAUGUCAAUAUUGUGACUAAUAUGAAAGAGUAGGUACUAGACAGUGGUGCCACUAGACACAUUUGUGGCAAUUAAAAUAUCUUUACGUCCUACUCUCAAGUGGAAAAAUGAGAAGAUGUUAUCUAUCUUAGAUACUUUGGAAACUACAAAUCUACUUAGAAAAGGCAAGAUUUUGUUCAACUUUACAUCUAGAAAAACUUUAGCCUAAGCGAGGUGCUUCAUAUUUCUAAAGUUAGAACCAAAUUGGUUUUUGUUGGAUUAUUAGGAAAAGUUGGAGUGAAAAUUUCCUUUAAAUGUGACAAUGUUAUAAUAACUAAAAAAAAAUACUUUUAUGAGUAAAAAUUUUUGUAACCAUAUAUUAUUUGCUAUUUGUUUUAGGAAUUAUUAAUGAUAAUUUGUUGUAAUUUGAUACGUCAAAUUAGGCUCUCUAGAACAAUUGAUGGGUUUGUUAUCAAGCAAUUUACGAGUAUUUUCUAUGCUUUUCAUUGAUUUUUAUUUUUUUAGUAUUAAUGAUUGCUUUUAUUUAAUUUUAGUCCUUUUGAGACCCAAAUUGAUAAAAUGGUGCCAUUGGAAAUCUAAUGGUGUGUUUUAGUUUGUGUAGGAAGAUGACCACGACCAAACAUUGAGCAGAACUGCACCUGGCAUUGGUGUUAUGACAUUGAUGCUAGGAUGUCGAGACACUGAGCCUUCAUCACCUUAAGGAAGCAAUACUUCAAUGAGAACCUUGGAGUAAUCUGUCGAGGAUGUUAUGAUACCAAGGGUUUUGUGUCAUGACACCAAGUCUCCAAGAGUUAGGGCCACUGUCGAAGAUUUCAUGACGCCAACUACUCAAUGUCAUGACAUCAAGACCCUCUAAAGCCAAAAUUGUGCCACUGUCGAGGGUAUUGCGACACCAAAUCUUAGGUGUCGCGACACCGAUGUUUGAUAGGAUGAAAAUUAUUAUGUAACACCCUCUAACCCCAAACCGUCGCCAGAUCAGGGUUACGAAGCAUUACCGGACAUAUCAGACAACUUACUAAUAAUUCAUAAUUAAUAUAACAUUCAUAGUAUAAUUUAAUAAUUAAGUCCCUAUAUUGGACUCUCGAAGCCCAAAACAUGUAUUAAAAGUAGAAAAAGACUUGUUUGAGUAUUCCGGAAAUUUUUCGUAUUUUUUUUACAAAAAUUUUGACAGUAUUUCUGCUUAUUUUUACUUAAAACCCUCUGCAAAUUCAAACCAAAAACAAACCAAUACCAAUGUUUCAACCAAAGAAUUUUACAUAUUAAACACUACUUGAUCAUGCUUAAAUCUUAAUCCAUUGAUUUAUUACUUAAAUUUUAAAGUGUUAACAUAUAAGUAACUAAUUCAUAUCUUUCAUUUCAUUUUGAAAUUUAAUACCAAAUUUACUAUUUUAUAACUUUAAACUUACUUAUCAUCCAAAAUUUCAUAACUAUCUAAUUACAACAAGAUCAUUUAACAUAUAUGUAUAUAUAUACAUGACUCAUGUACAACCACUUAGUACAUGCCACUUAAACAAAAAGAAGAAAUACAUCACCAAAAUUUUCUUGUUGGAGUCGGGAUCUUUCUGGAUGCUAAAUUGGAUCUUGAACUCUAAUAACCUACGCACGGAAACAACCGUACACUGAGUAUUUCAUACUCAAUGGUAUUACUAUAAAACCAAACUAUUUAACAUUAAUAAAUUACAACAUCAACCAUAAGCUUUAUAAAUCAUUUAAACUAAUUAUACAUAAUUAUAUAUCACUUCAUAAAUCUUAAAUUCAUAUUUUAUUUUAUUUUCAUACUAAUUCGAUUCAUAAUUUAAUUCAUACAUUCUUUCUCGCACUUUCAGUAGUGCCAAAUCAAUCAAUCUCAUUUUCAAAUUUUCAUUGCAAUUAUUUAUCCUAUUAACAAGGCUCGGACUCUGAUAGAUAUACGGAUUCCACCCAAACACACCAGAAUAUCCAACCCAAACACACCCGGAAUAAUAUAAAUCCUCCAUAACACACUAGUAUAAUAUAGCCUCCCAAACACACCAGUAUAUUAUAUCCUCCCUAACACACCAAUAAGGCAUUAAAUGCCUCUUCGAUUAAACCGAAGCAUAUAAUAACAGAAUCAUCUUCUCGGCCGAGCUACAAAUCUCCUCAUCACAUCACAAUCCUACGGCAUGCCAUUUGUAUCCAAUCUAGUCCGACAAGUUAAUAGGGUAUUAUUUUACUUUUCCAAUUUCGAAUUCAUUUCCACAACAAUUUCAAAUAUUCAAUCAAUUCAAAAUAUCUAUUAUCUCAAUUCACAUAUAAUUCAAUAUUCACACAUAUUCUUACUUAAUUUCAAAUAUUAUUACUUACCUUAUCUUAAAUGUCCCAUGACUACAAAUUCAAUAUAACAGUUAAUAAAUAGUUUGAGUUAUAGUAAUACAAACCCGGAAUACGCGUUUACUCCUCAACGAUCUUUUCUUUUCCUUUGGAUGCCGAUGCCUCGUUUUCCUUGUUAGCUACGAAAAUAAUAAUAACAAUUUACAUUAUUAAUUACAGUAUUAAUUUAAUAAUUAAUUGAAUUUUUAUUCAAUUUAUUCCUAAUUCCAAUUUAAUCGUAAUUAACUAUUUUAUUUGUUUAACUUAAUUUAUACUUCAUUUCUACCCAAUUUCCUUCCAUAUUCACCCUAACAAUCUAAUGUUCAUUAUAAAACUCUAAUUUAAAAUUUCUUUCAAUUUAAUUUCCUAAAACACAAAACUUAUAGCUUCUUUUACAAUUUAAUCCCUUUUUCAAUUCUAACUUAAAAUUCAUUCAAUUAAAUCCCUGAUUCUUCUUUUUGUUCAACAUAACCCAUGCUUAAAAACCUAAGAACUUCCAAACCUUAAUUUAAUUUCAACAAAACUUUGUUUUCAAGCUUCUAAAACAUCAAAAUUAAGAGAAAAUGGCUAAAUUUAGCUUAUCAAUUAAACUUGAAGCUUUAAAAUCCCAAUUUUCCCUUCUUCUUUUUUCUUGCCCUUUUUCUUCCCCUGUUUUCGUUUUGUUCUUUGUUCUUUUCUGUUCUUCUUUCUUUUAUUUUCUUUUAUUCUAUUUUCUUAUUUCUUUUAGUUAUUUUAUAUUACUUUAAUAUUAAGUAAACAAAUUAUUUUAUAACAAAUGUACCAAUAUUUUUAUUACAAUUGUCAUUAUUCAAUUUAUUUAUUAUUAAAAAAAAUCUUAUAAUUUAAUUAUUAUCAUUUACUUAUUAUAUAAGAAAUUAUAUAUAUUUUACACAUGUACCAAUAAUAAUUAUGCACUUGUCUUAUUUCAUAAUAUAAUAUCAAUUUAAUAAUUAUUAAUAUAUAAAUAUAUUUUACUUAUUAUUUAAGAAAAUAUACAAAUAUAUAUAUAUUUACAUGUGUAUAAAUACACAUAUCACACAUGUACACUUCUAUCAUCAUACAUUUGGCACAAAUUUUAAUUUAUUUAUAAUCUAAUAACAAAAUUUUAAAUCAAAUAAUAAUAAUAAUAUUAUUAUUAUUAAUAUUAACAAUAAUAAUUAAUAAAAUCUAAGAAAAAUCUUAGAUUUUUCUAUCCAUUUUGCCGCCUCAAUUAUUACAAAUGGUUUAAUUCUUUUAUUGUUUUAGAAUUAAACUUUUAACCUUUACUCAAUCUAGUCCUUUUUACUAAUUACUCUAAAUUAAAUUAGUUUCACCUAAGUAAAACUUAAUUAGACAUAUAAAUAGACUUAUAAUUAUUCCUAAUAAUUAUUUACGAACCCGUUUCACUAAGACGGAGGCCCGAUAAUGUACUUUUUCGGUCCCCACGGAUUUUGGGUCAUUACAUAUUACAAUGGUAGUUUUUUGUCCAACACAAACACAAGUUAACCCAUACACUUUAAGGGCAUUUUUGUCAAAAUUUAGGGUUAAUUUUUUUUGGUGAAAAGAAACAAAACAGUUGAAUUAAAUUAUAUUAAACUGAGCAAAAACACCACUUACUUUAUCAGAUAAAGGGUUACUAGCAUCUCCCUAGGAGGAUAAACGAAUACCUAUAAGCCUUCUUUCCCACCUGAGGCCAUUUUAACUAUAUGGUCAGCAUUGGUUAUCCUCCUUUGAGACAUGUCGUAAACACCAGUGCCCGACAUGCAUCAAAAGUUUCUAAAUACACCUGAUCAAAGAAGAACUCAAUGCUGCUGAUAGAGUGUCUUGGAGAACCUUAAUCACCUCCAAGCAAUCACUUUGAAUCAUCACCCUUUAAUACCCACAACCUUGAAUCUUGGUUGUAUUAAAAAUGCUUUUGUUGUCAAACUUAAAGGAGCCAUCUUUUAUCACCAUUCUAGCUUAGUUUUUAUUCUCUUCUCCAUUUUUAGGUUUUAGUUCUUUACCUUUCUCAGCUUGGUAGUUGUAGUUGGUAGUUUUCUAGGGUUUUUACUGUAAAUUUUAUUUCUUUACACUUAGAUGCAAAAAUAUUAUUUUGUAUUUUGAUUUCUAUUAAAACCUUUAAUACAGUUAAGCUUUGUUAACUCUUAAAAGUGUAAAAAUCUUAACUUUAGUCAUACUUUCUUCUUCAUUGUUGUUGUUGUCAUCUUCUAUAAAAGCUCCAUCAAGAGUCCUUAAAAUUUUCUUAACCUUGCUUUUUAUACUUUCUUUAAUGAAUCAUUUGAACAUAUAUUUGAUUAAUGUUCGUGUGUUAAUGAUGGGUGGUAAAUAAAUUUUAUGGUAGUUAGAUGAUGGAAGUGUUGCAUAGUUAGUUUUUGAGAUAGGAAUUAAAUUGUAAAAGUUACACUAAAUCGAAUAGACUUCAAAACCUAAAAUUGACGCCUCUAAGUGAACAAUUAGAUAUGUGAGACAGAGAAGAGAAACUGUUGAGAACCAAUCAACUGACCACUUUAACUUUCUGAAAUGAUAUUUUGUACUUUUGACUGUUUUACAAUUUAGUCCUUCUAAUUGUUAGGUUAAUCAAUGUUUGAUGAUCGUAGUAUACUAUUCAGCAAGUAGCUAACUAGAAUUCAUAAUUACUGGAUAAACUUAGGAGAAAAAGAAAUUAUAGAGAAGAACUUGCUGAAUUCAUUUCAAAAUUUGAAUCGUUGUUAAAGACAUUGACGUACCUGUUGUAACAAACUGUACCAGAGGAUUAUUUUUUUACACAGCUGGCAUAAUAGAAAAUAAAAUGACUAGUGUUGGAUACAAGCAUUGGGCUAGUGUCAUCUCGGCCCAUUAGCCAUCAGCAUUCGAUUUCCGGAGUCCAUCUUGGAUUGGUCUUCUUGUUAGUAACCCUUUCAAUUGGCCCACUGUCAAUAGACGACACAUCGCCCGGUGUUGGCCGUUCCUUCUCGUCUGUUGACUGAAUGUCUCCUUUCCUCAAUUCUACCAAAUCCCUAAUUUCCUCUUAAAUUCAAUCGAUUAGGGUUCUUUUCCCCAAUUCUUUCGAAACAGUUUCCAAUUCCAUGAAAAAAAACCAAAUGGACAAAAUAGAACUAAGAAACAUAAAUUAAAACAAGAGCAAGGUGACAAGCACAAUUGCAAAAUAAAGUAAGUUACAUCGGAAGUAAUCAAAGGCCAUUACUUGAUGACAAGCAAGCAUGUUAAACCCAAAGGACUACUAAAGAUUCACCUAACACUAAAAGCCAACAAAAUACAAAUCGGAACCAAGUUAAAAUGAAAACCACCAAAACAUAAGAAGACUGAACACAAAUAAUUAGAUGACGCUUCGAGAGCAAAAAGAACCCAUGGAUAUCGGUGAGAAACUGUCUAAGGGUAAGUAAUAAUGUUAAAAAAGUGAAGAGAAACAUGCCUUUCAGAGAUUUAUAAGAGUGUAUAUGCUAAGCUAGCCAGCUUUAAUAAAAUUAACAGUGAACUUCCACAAAAUAAAAUCUAUAGUGAGAUAGGAAAAUGAAAAAUUGAGAGACAGAAAUUGUGAGAACUUUAUAACUACUUAAAUCAUGAUUGCCACACAUUCUGUGGUUUAAAACAAAGAGAAACCCUAAAUCCCCCGAUCAAUAAAAAACUAAGAAUGACUUCUGUCGUUUUAGUGGUCUAGGCAUUUGCUUUCCUAAGCUAGUUGUGAGGUAACAAUUACAUUUGGCAUUUCCCUCUCUCAAACAGCAUAGGCAAAUAAAUAGGUAACCGAAACAAUUCCAAAACUUCCAAAUCAUCCAGAAGCAUUGAUAUCCUGAAUAGCGGAUCUCAGGACCUCAUCCCCAGCAACCUGCCGUAGUUUCUUUAUAAAAGCAUCCUUGGCCAUCAUUCCAGCCUGUGGUAAACAAUUGGGCAAAAAAAAAAAAAAAAGAUCAAAACAUGCUUAGAUUUUAGAAUGCGACUUCCAUUCCAAGCAACAAGAUAUAUCUGGAGUUCCUUUUUGUAUAUUAUAUAGAUGAUUCAAUCCGCAAGGACAAUGAUUGGGAAUUAUUUGAUCGUCUUUCUCCGACUAAGAGGCGAAACAUAAUCAACUUGAACUCAAGACAGCUAUUCGAAAUCUGAGUGAAAGACUAGAUUUAUUAUCUCAUGUUCGCUUUUCGUGAAAAAAUAACAAUUGAAGCAGAGGGUUUCUUCAAACAGCAAGGAAGUGGGUCAAUUAUUCAAUCAAAUGAUAUUGAGCAUGUUUAACAUCUCUUCCCGAGAGGCAAGUGGGCUAUUUCUUCGCAAAAUUGUGCUCAAUUUCAUAUGUGGCAAUCGCACCAUCUCUUCGCUAGUUGGGGGAAGAAUCCACACCAAUCGGAUUUUUUGAGGAACAUAUCGAGUGAGAAUUGGAUUUGGUUAGACAAUGUAUGAUUGGUAAAGAGGGACCGAUUUUUUAGCAAGGUACGGAACGUAUAGUCAAAUAUUCAAUAUGAUUCCACAAGAUAUAGUUUUGUCCAACCUAAUCUAAUUGACAAGCAACCUACUUACCCUAUAUGUGCUGUAUAUCAUCAAUAUUUCUUGGACAUUGCCAGGAGGUAGAGAGCUCUUAAUCUUCGAAAAUAAUUUUUCAAGGGAAUACUUAACACCCGCAACUGCCCUCAGUGGAGCUUCACCUACAAGAGAAUCAUACAAACAUACAAAACGUCAACUUCUAAAAUAUACAAGGAAACAAGAAAAAGGGUACCAAGGAAAGAAGAAAAGCUUACCUUGCAUGUUACUAGGUCUGAAACUCACAACAGACUCGGGAAGAAUAUGCAUGUUUGCAAUAUUUGACCAUACCACAUACCACUUCGGGUUCUUGGGAUCAUCAGAACCAGUGUCAAAAUCUACACUAGAUGGGAGAUACUGUUCUGAUCCGGCUUCUACUUUUUCGACAUUUCCCAAUAUCACCCGGCACAGAAUAAGAUGUUUUAGACCAUUACCAUCAACAUCAGCAAGCUUUGCACUGCAACCAUUAACCCAACAUUAAAAAGAUACAAAAAUGACAGCAUGACAGUAAAAAUUACCAGAAAAGAAACAACGUAACAAGGAGUAAUGAAACCAAUCAAAAACUGAGAAAACCUGGUAUACGUAUUACAUAAAUAUAUGAUACUAAAUCACUUCUAGUUCUAGUUUCAGCUAGAGAACUGCCCAAGCCAGAAUUUCCCCUUGCACCAACUAGGCUUGAGCGACUUCAAUCUCAAAUCCAAUAGUAAUCUAAUAGGGUAACAGCCUUAGUCCCUGAGGUAAAACUAACUUACUAAUAGUAGCAAACGAAGAUUUUACCUCAAGUGUGGCAAGCCUACGGGAGAUAAAUAAAUGCCAAUCCCAUAAGCAUCAGCCGCGGGAAGCUUACUAGGUAACCCAAACCCAUGGGCCAGCACACUCUCCACACGCUUGGCGGAAGCCCCAAACCAUGCAUAAACCAUAUUUGAAGUGCCCCUGGCAGCCUUAGUAAUCUCAUUCUGCUUUUGAAAAACUUCGUGACGAGCUUUGUCCAAAUGCGUUUCUCGCUUACAUUGAUGAAUUGAAGUAACCAAAGCUCCAGUAUCAACUUUCGCAAUUCCUUUCAAGAAAUUAUCCUUCACGAGCAUAGACGUCAUAUCUGUUUCAUUUAACCGUAUCGUAUUAGGCCAUUUAGCAUCUCCUCCCUCCUCCAAACGCUGACAUUUGACCGCAUCAUUCCCCGCGGCUUUGUAAGAGGAGCUCACUUCAGGCUCCUCCUCCCUCUUUCUCUUCGAUGAAGGUGGAUCAAUCUUAACUUCUAUCUCAAUCUUAGGAUUGCAAUUACAAUUCUUAUUUUUAUAAUUACAGCUAGUAUUAUCAUCCCACUCACUACAUUCUGAUUGAAUAAAUUCUUCUUCGCUAAAAAAAUCGCUAGGGAAAAAACACUUGCCACUUUCGUCUAUCCAAGAAAUUGACCGGCAAUUACCUGUCGAGUACUCGAUCUGCAGCAUCCUCUUGAAAUCAAAUAUAUACUUCGAACCGUCAAUCGACGUCUCGAUAAUCGGUUUCCGCUCCAAGAAACCGGCUCGGAGCGUUUCUACUACAUCGGCCGAGAAAUUAACCCAUGAAUCAUUACGAAAGUACAUGAACCGCAAAGGAACCGCGCUCCGUCCGAAAUUCGCGUUGUUCUGCAAGAAAUCUCGUUUGCAGAAACCAGAUCGGACGCUGCCGCCGCGUUUACACGUACCUUUAGAGGAGGAAAACGAUGCCGGUGCACUAGGAGGAACCCUAACGCCAGCGGAUUCCACCAGAUUCAUGGUCAUCGUCGCUGUUGAGAUUUCUUGGAACUAUAAAUAAUAAAUUAAAAACCAAAAGGAGCUGAAGAAAUUCUUCAGGAUUCAAACAAACAGACAGCCGGUAGAAUCGGAAGAGAUUGAAACAAAACCCGCCUUAUAUAAAGGCGCUCGAAGCAUGAAAAUUCCGUGAAAGAUUAAGAUUAGGGUUUUAUGUGAAAUUACAAAAGCAGGUCUUCAUAUUAAUGACCGUUAAGGCGGCGUUGCUGGAAAUGAAUAAGGGGUGUUUUAGAUAAUUCGAUUUGAGGCGGUUACGGAUUUGUGGGGCCCGCAACAAACGUUCGUUCGAGAUGAGAGCGAUGAUUAUUAAACAACAAACUUGUUGGCUAAGUAGCUUUUCUCUUCGUUUACUUAUCUUUGCCACGUCAGAUGUUGGAUUCGGACUUUUUUUGUUCUUUCUUCGGCCCAAAGAAAUUAGACAUUUAAAAAGAAAAAAAAUGAAUUUAUGCCUUACAUAGGUCAACGCCCCAAAAUGCCGCCUUUUAUACUCUCAACUUCCCUUCAAUUCCGUGUUCCAAACUUGCAAAUUAAGUAUUCUAUAAUUUCAUUAAUAUUUUUUAGAUACUCCGAAUUAAGUUUUAAAAUAAUAAAUAUUAUCUUUUUUAAAUAAUUUAUUAUUUAAAAUAUAUUAUUAAAGUUUGUACUUUAAUCCUUAAAGUGAACAAAGAAAUCUCAACCAAUGAUCUAAAAUGGUGUUUACUUUUUUAAUUUUAAAUUUAAAUAUAUCUUCGUUUCAUAAUUUUUAUUUUCUUUCAUUCGCAUUCGCAUUUUGGAUGUCACAAUGCCGAUAUUUUUAACAUAAAUUAACAUAUAUUAAUUUUAGUUUCAUAAUUGAAAAGAGCUUAAUACAUGUAGUAUAAGUCAUCAAGGGCCCAAAAAGAGGCCCAGCAUGCCCAAACAAAAGUAAACAAAGGCCAAGCCCAUUCCAAUAAAAAAUCACAAAGAAUCAAAGGGCACUAGCACCUUUACCAACCGCCACCAGGCACUGUAGUGCGCUCCGGCCAAAGAGAAAGGAGCACCAUGUCUUGACCCGUCUUCUACUUCCUAAACAACCGGAACAAGAAGAACCUGUAGCAGCCAUAAGCAAAUACCCACCCAUCUUCAACUAAGGGUCCAUUUUGCUUCAUGAAAAACAAUUUACAUAAAAUAAUUUUUGAAAAAUAACUUAAUUGUUAAAAAAUAUGAUUUUUUUUAGAUGAUUUUAUGUAAAAUAUUUUUACGAUAUUUGAUAGGUUUUCUAAAACAUCCUCUUCUUGUUCAAAAUAAUUUUUGACAUAAUUUUAUUUUUAUUUAAAUUAAAUAGAUUAAUUCUCAUAAAUAUAGUAAUAGUUAUUGAUGGUUAAAUACAAUUUAAAUUACAUAAAUAAAUAUGUGCUUGUAACAUCUCCUUUAAACACAGUAACUGAGUAAUAUUAAAAGCAGUUGUAAAAGAUUGAUUUGGUUCGAACAACAAAAUUAUGACUACUGAUAUUCUUCAUAACAUUAGAUCAGUGGCUAUUUAUAUAGACUUAAAUAAUUCACAAAUAUAGAGCAAAUAUAGGAUCUUAAUAGUUCAACGCCACGUGAUUUAUGGCCAAUAAUAGUUACUUAAUUAUUAGGAAGGACUAACAAUGAUAUCAAGAACUACUGGAACACCAAGCGUUAGAAGAAACUCUAUCCAUGAAUAUGACUUCUCAAUCCUAGAAAAAAUCACCACCAUUACCAUCUUCUCAUCACACUCCAUCUGUUUCAUUUCAAUCUUUAUCAUCUCUAUAUAAAGACUGAAUUACUUAUCACACUCCAACCAAAUCUUUCACGACCUUUAAGCCAAUGUCAUCAUUUCAAUCUAAUAUUUUGAAUAAUGACAACACUACUUUAGCUACUAAUUAUUCUAUUAUUCACACUUUGGAGACUUUGGUGAAUUACAUGCAGUGUUACCAAUAAAGAAAAUUAUUUUCUCAUGUUUGCGAGUGCGCCAAGCUGCAGUUCAUUUGAUGUUAGCUUUACCCAUAUCAGUUUUGGCAAAGAGAUGAAGCAAGAAGAGUAAUUUUCAAGUUUUGGUGCCUUUAAUGGGUAUGAAGAUAAUCACAACUUCAUGUUGUGUCCUAACACCAAUAAUGGAGGUUAAAAUGUUAACCAAUAAACUGAGAAGCCAAGUGGAUAAUAUUUAAACAAUCCCACCCAUUUUAGCUAACAUGACAUGUAUGAAACAUAAAAGAAAAUAUUUUCACAUUUGCUACCUCAUAAAAAAUAUAUGCUAGAACUAACAUUAACACACAUGUCCAUUGCAUCAAGUUACAUGGUUAUAGCCCUGUUGAACAGCAAAAAAACUAGAUUAAUCAUAACCCAAUGGUUGACUGCAAUUGAGCUACUAGAAUAAUCAUGCUAGAGCAUAGAAAUUUUACUCCGACUCUUUUAGUACCUAAAAAAUAAUUAACAAACAUGAUUUAAAUACUUCCAUACCCGACAUUCACUCACAAAUAAAAAAAAAAACAUAUUCAACGUGAUUUCAUGAUAUCUAAAUUUUCACCCCAUAAAGAUCCAACAAGAAAACCAAAAUGAUUUUACAUUUAAACAGAGUGUAAAUGAAAUUUCAUGAGCACAAAUCCUCUCGUUUCUUACUAAGUAAUUUGUUGUUAUUAUUUCAGGCCUAAAUUUCUUUUUAUUAUCAUUUCAAUAGUAUAAACAAUUACGCAAAGCUAUUACUUCCCAGAUGUUCUAAUAUACAUUCUAAUAGAAGUAUAUUGUUGACGUAUAAAAUUCAGACAAGCAUGAAUGGAUCUGUUUCCAUGAAACAUAAUAACCUAUAAGGUAAUUCACACGUAGUUUAUGUUGUAUUCUUCCAACUUUUACGAAAUUUAUAUAUAUAUAUAUAUAUAUUUAAAAAAUUGUUAUUCUUUGAAUAUUUAUGAUUUUUAAAUUAUUUUUUAAAAAGAGAAAUUUAUUAAUUCAUUCCAUGAAUGAUCCAUACAAUUCGGGAAAAAAAAAUCAGUCGUAGGCGAUAAAGGAUAAACUUCAUUGAUACAAUAAAGGUUUCAGCCUCAACAUCAAUAGAAUAUUAUGACACAUUGACAAUUGGCUCUGUCAUAAAUCAAGCACGACAUAUCUGAAUUGAUUAUAAGCACUUAAUACGAUAAGAAAAUCGGCCUUGAAUUGUCCAAAGUGACAAGCAAAAAUUGGCAAAAGAACCAAGGAUCCACCAAACUGGAGAGGACGGCUACAAAAUUAUCUAUAAAAUCACUUGCAAAAGCAAUACUACAUGUAUAAACAAGACUAAAAUACGUAAUAUAAGAGUAAACAAAAACUUUUAAAAAAUGAAGAAUUAUUAAACAAUGGAAAACAAAAAAUAUAUAUAAAACUUAAGAUAGCAGAAGUCCAAAUCAACUCGUGGAAUAAUUUAUUAUCCUGAAAUACGCUCAAAACAGAAAUAGAUUAACAAGCCGACGAAGAGCCACCCACUUUCCAAGAGAAAUUGAUGGAGGCCAGUGGAGUUUUAAAGAUAACAUGCACCGUCACAACUUAUGAAGACAAUAAAAAUACCCAUAAAAUAGAUUUUACCAACUAAAAAAAAGAGAAGACACAUAAAGUGAAUAAAAAAAAAGAAAGAAAGAAAAGGUUAAUGGGAGGGAGAAAAAGACGAACAGCUAAAACAAAAAGAGAAGAAGUAAACGAUUUGGAGAAAGAAGAGAAAAGUUUUGAAGGUUUCAUUAAAGAAUUGUCUUUAAAAUGUUAAUUUAUUAUUCAUAGAGAUGGUAGUUCUAAAUAAUGGAUUUAUAUAAUAUAUAAAUCUUAAAUUAUUUGUUCAUGUGGCAUAUGAGUUAAAUAGUGGUAUAUCAGCGUAAAAUGCACGUUGACUAUUAAGAAAGUUAUCAUGUCAAUAUUGUUAAAAAAUUAAUGUUUUAAUUUCUAUUUCUUUUAAAGAAAAUUAACUUAACCUUUUUUAAAAGGUUAACAGUUAAAUUUAAUUUUUUAAAUAUUAAAUUAAUAAAAAUAUAAAUAUUAAAUAUUAAAUAUUAAAUUUAUCACUAUAUCUAUUUUUUAAACUCAACUUGAUUUAUAUCUAAUAAAAUUUUUUAAGGGUUUUUUUUAAGGUUUGUAUAUGAAUAACACUUAUAUAUUUAAUGUUUUAAUAAAUCAAUCAUUACAGUUAUAACUUGCAGAGCAUAUUUAGCAACUCAUUACAAUACACCUAUGUUAAACUCACACGUAGUAAUAUUUGCAUCUUAGACUUCAAAGUUUUGAAAGAUUUCUUACCAUUAAAUUUAAGUCUCAUCCACUUGUUAGUAAUGGAGAGUUCGGUUCGGCUGAGUUGAUUUUUGUGAAUUUUUCGAAUAGUUGGAUGAUAAUUGGAUUUUAUUUUAGUUUUUUAUUUUUAUUUUUAUUUUUGAAUUUAGGAUUUUUGGAUUUAUUUUAAUAGUAUGAGUUUUUUUAAUGAUUUUUUAGAUAUUAUCAUUAAAUUAUUGUUUGAUAUAUUGGUGAUAGAAUUUUUUUAACUUUACAAGUAAAUUUAAAAAAUUAUUAGUGGAGCUUUUAAACUUCAAAAAGUAAAGUUAGGGGUUGACAAGUAUAUAAAGUAUAGCAAAUUAUUUAAAAAAAACACAUGUCAAAUUUUUAAGAUUAUUUGUAAAAUAAAUAAAAAAUACAUACUAACCUUUUAAAAUAUCAAUUAACUAUACUUACAAUUUCUUAAACUUGCUAAUGGGAUUAAAAGAGCAUUAAAUAAUACACUUUAUUUAAUAAAAUCUCAAACUAUUUUUUUAUAAAUAUUUCUAAAAAUAAAAAUUCAACAUGAUUUUUCUUAAUAUAUUUUAUAUAAAAUGUUUUCAUCAUAAAAAUAUUAAAAUAAUUAUAAAUCAAAUACAAAAUUUAAAUUGGUUCGAGUAACUAUGAUUAUUUAAUUUUUAUAUUUAGCUCAUUAAAAGAUUGAUCUAAGUCAAAUACAGAACAUUUAGCAAGUUUUAUAUGAGAAUUAUUUAGAAAACGAUAUUAAACUAAUAUGAAAUUCGACUGUCAAUAGUUUUUCGAUAUAUAAUUUUAUUAUCUGUAAAUUACUAUUCAUUUGUAGUAGAAAAAUCUGCUUCGUUCAUUAUAUUUUUUUCUUUGGUUUUUAUGCAAGUCAAGAUUUCAUUAUCAUUGGUUACAACUUAAAGAAUAAAUAGAGGUCAACGGCGGGCUCUUGUGUUUAUUUUCUUAGCUUUUAAACUCUUCCAAAGGUUUGGUUACAACAAAAAUGUUGUCAGCAGUGAGUUGGUAAUUUUGACAAAACUUAGGUUUUGUUUUCUGUUUUCCAUAUCAAGGUGCCCUGAUUACAAAUUAUUCUAAACAAAUUCCAACCAAGAGUUUUUUAGUUUUCUUUUCAUGAUUUUCUUCUACGUUGACUCGAAGGAUUCGUUGGUAAGCCGUAAACAUCAUGGGAAAUGGUUAUUGUUUUCAUAUAGAAGUUAGUAGUGUAAACCAUAUAAAUAAAACCUUAUUGUUUGAAUUUAGUCAAGAAUUCAUAUUAAAAUUUAAAGUCAAUUCGUUCAAAAAAUAAUAUUCUCAAUUCUUUAUUAUAUAAGGUAUUUUAGUUUUAAGAUUUAGGAUGUUAAACUCAAACUAUCCGAUAGAUUUUGAAUUAGUUAAUCUCAUUUGGAGUAAUUUUUUUUUAAAAAAGGAAUAUCAGCAGGGAUGAAUAUAUAUAUACAUAUUUAUGAUGAAUAACUGUAGCAGUUAUGAUAAUUAUUUGUCCCAGCCCACUCUACUUCACUAUUUGAAAUUACUAUUUGACCAUUGUAUAUUUAUAAUUAUUAAAGGGUAAAAAUAUGUUAUAGAGAACUCAUAUGUUUUAUGUUUAAAUAUUUAUUAGUUUUAAAAAAAUUGAAAAUACUUUAAAAAACUAAUAAAAAUUAAAUUGAAAUGGGGCAGCAUGCGGGGAUUGAUAUAUCCAACAUCCAUAGGGUGAGUGGUUUUUAAAAUUAAACAUCCAUAAUGGAAAGGGGUGAGUGAUGGGGCAAAACACAGCAACUAUGAAGCAAUAGUGAAUUUGACAAUAUUCGCACCCUAACCCUGUUUCAUUACUAUUCAAUUUGCAUUAAUUGAUAUUUAAUUUUUUUUAGACUUAAUUAAUACUUCAACUUGAAAUCGAUUAACCGAAUUAGUACAUAGCUAAUCAACUCCACAUUUUUUUAUUAUUAAAAUUGACAGUGAAUAACACAACACCAUGUGGCAAACUAUACCAACCAAGCAUUAUUUGAGAAACAAUAAAAAACUAAUAAAUAUUGAAGAUGUAUAAAAAUCUAAAAUUAUAUAAAAUCAUAAUAAGAAAAACUAUAAAAAUUCAAGAAGCAAUUCUAAAAUUAUAUAUGAGAAAAAUCCAAAAACUCAAAAAAAAAUUGAAACUUUUAUAAAAAUAUUAGGUUUUUAUACUAUUAUUUUUUUAAUAUUAAUAUCAUUAUAAAUUCUUAUCAUAUAUAGUUAUUUCUAACACAAUACUUAGAACUACCAAUAGUUCCUCUUCAACCCUUAAAUAGGAGGAUAAUACGCUUUAGCGCACUCAAACCCACGUCUUCUCACACUAGCAACAAUGUUUAUGCCAAUUGAGUUAACACUCAAUCGAUUUUUAUACCAUUAUUUUUAAUUAUAAAAACAUAUAAAAUAAUUAAAAAUUGUACCUCUAGAAUGAAUUUGAAUAAAUGAUCUGCUUUAUUAAUCUAAAUCUAAACACUUAUUUGUUUAAGUUAUUUAUGCACAUGAAAUAAAAAAAAUUACAAGAUUUUUAAAUACUAUUAUUCUUUAGAAAUUUUAAAAAUUACAUUAAAAAUUAAAUAUUUAUAACUUUGCGUCCAACAAGUAUUAAAAAGUUUAAUGGCGUAAAAAUGUUAUCAAACUUUAAAAAAAAAAAUUUAAGUCUCUACUCUUUUUUUUUUUUACUAAUUAGGUACUUGAACUGUCAAUUUGUAUAAAAAAGGCUAGGGUGGAUCUAGGGGGAGGGCUGACAAGGGCCUCAACCCUCCUAAAAUGGAUAAUUUUUUAUUUAGGCCAUUUAUAAUUUAUAAAAUUUACACUUUGCCCCCUCAAAUGAUAAAAAAUUGAUUUAAUCCUCUAAAAAUCAUAAAGAUAUAGGCUAUUAAAAUGACGAAAUUGCAUUUUUACUAAUUUAAUUUCGGUCACCCCCAAACAAAUUUCCUAACUACGCACCUGCUUCUGCACCCCCUAAGUAAGUUGUAUUUCUGGAUCCGCCACUGAAAAAAACAACUUAAUUAACAAAUUUCAAAUUCAAUUAUUGAUUGAGUCUUAAAAAAAUUACAUACCAAUUAAGUACAAGUUACUAAGUUUAGAGGCUAAAAUAAACAUUAAUCCUUACAAAAAAAAAUAUUUACAUAUAGAUGUGUUCAUAAGUUAAGCUGAAUUGUGAGUAAAAAAGUUUAAUGCUCAGGCUUGAGCCCGACUCAGUUUAACCUGUCGCAAUUGUCACAAGUCGCGGAUUAAAACUAGUGACGAAUGCAAAGAUUGUCUCAUGGAGGUCAAUUGAUUAAAUGUGACUCAUUUAAUCUACUUGCACUGACCCGAUUCAUGAAAUAUAUGAAGAAGCCCAUCUACUUAAAGCCUUAAUAGUCCAGUGAAGCACUCUAAUAAAGCCAGAGUUAUUAUGGUAAUUAUUAUAAAUUUCAAGGAAUAAAGAUAUAUAGAGUUUAAAUCUUUUAGGACUCUCAUCUUGUAGAUACACAGUAAUUUUAGUAGUCAAUGUAAUUCGAUCUAUACCGUUAAAUCUACAAGAGCUCAACUAUAAUUAAAUGUAUUUCCUCUCAUUUGUAAUUACUCAGUUGUAAACAUUCAAAGUUAUAGAAUACUUUUGAAAGCAUUUACUCAAAUACUUGGUGUGCACUAUUUUUCUUGUGGCUUUUUUGUUCGUUCGUUACUCUUUUCGUUUUGAAUUUGUUUCUAUUUUGUUUUGAUGCCUCAAGGGAAUUUGAAAUUAAGAAAUCGCCCAAGGUCGUGCGAUUUGUCAAAUUAAUUAAAGUUCUAGUCCCUUAAUACAAUGACUUACUUUACUUGCAAAAAUUAAUUUUAUUAUAUUUAAAAAUAAAUAAAAAAAUAUUUAAUUUGAAUUCAGAAAUCAAACUCACUCAAAAUUGAAAAAUCCUUGUUAUAACCCACUCGCACAAUCACUUAACCCAUUAGAACAUUCAAUGCCAUAUUCCGUUAGCCCAUUGCAUCAUUAAAAUAAGGCCCAUAUCUGCAUCCAGAUUAGUCCACCCGUCCCAUUAAACAUCAAAAACCAGUACUCCAACGAGUUGUGUUUAACAAGUUUUUUAUGGUAAAAACACAACUUUCUGAACAUUCUCUUUCAGAAAGGUAACACAAAAUACAUACAAGCAGUGAAUUUUGAUUUGGAAAACACAAAGGGAAAACAAAUUACAGUUGUCCACAAUUUCUUAUAUUUUACAUACAAUCAAAGCACUGUAGGCAAAAGGAUCCCUAAUGCCUUCAUUCCUGAGUCUGAAACGGCUUAUAUGUCUUGAGGCUUUGAAUCAGUCCCUGAACCGAUCCGGCUGCAGCAAUGAGCGACACAAUCAAGCAAACCCAGCUUAGUAUUUUCAGCCACGUCCACCUGAAGGAGUACUUGGGCAGAUUCGUUUGAGCAAUGUGCAUCUCUAUGGGGAAGUAGACUGUUAAUGGCCAAAACGAGCCCGCCCCGAUAAGACCCAAGAAAUCGUUGAAGAAUGGGAAAAUCAUGGCUACCACGGCUGUCACGACAACGUAGGCUGUCCUCCACACCAACCUGAACAAGUUGAGGUAAUAAACACCGUAGCAUGGAAUGUCAACGGCGUGUUCUCUUGUAAUGAACUUGCUAUCAGGCCAUUGCCUGGCGCACCAGCCUUCGACGAAUCCGAAUAAGGGUUGGGCAAAAACCUGGAUGCAUGUAGGAAUAUUCAAUGGAAAUGAACUUGUUUCAUGUAUAUAUAUACAUAUCUGUGUGCGUGUGUGUAUGUAUGUAUGUAUGUGUUUUACCUGGUAUGCACCAAUAAGAUGGAUGGCAAUGCAGAUGUUGGCGAAGUCGAUCAACCAAAAGGGUUCGUAGAAGCCGAAGCCGGUGAGGAAAUUUCCCGGUGCGUCGUUCCCGAAGGCUGCGUAUCCUACAAGGCCGCAAAGUACGUAGAACAAAGUGGUUGUUGAGACACCUAGGGUGGUUGCUCUCUUCAUUGAUUUGUUCUCUGGUGGGCUCGAUUUGAUCGUGUCCUGAAAUCAUAAGAGAAACCAAUAAAUAAAUAAAUAAGAGCAUGACUUUCAUAUGCCUUUGUAUAUAUCCCCUUUUCACCAUUUAGUAGAUUAGCAUGUGCUAGUUAUCGAUUGCUACGAAUCUAAAGGCUGCGCUUUGGAAAAUGAUUCUCUUUUUUUUAGAUGGGACAAAAAACAGUUGAAACUCAACUUAGCUUUGGACGUCACAAUCCGUUGCUAAUAGGUUCUUGAUAACUGAUAACAAAAAAAAAAAAAAGUUGGAAAAAGAAAGGUUUCAAUACUUUUUCCUUUUGGAAAAAGGAAAUAGAAUCUGUGGACCAAAUUCUGCAGCAUUUUGGCCAUAGGAAUCUUUUGGAUCUCUAUUAUCUUACAUAUCUAUCUUAUACUUACACAAAACUUGACUAAGUAUCUAGAAACCAAAGACAACCAAGUCUUCCAUUCCGGGCAUUUAAAUCAGGCACACAUUUCAACUUUCGUACAAUCAUCACAUGAUCUUAUAUACUUGCCUGAAUCUCAACUAGGACGGUAGAAUAAGCAUAGGCAAAGGCAAUGUCUCCAAUAGCUUGGAAUGUCCUCCAAAUCUUUUCAGAUCCUGACACGUCCACCCCUACUGUCACUCCAGUUAAGGUUGUCCUUACAGGUUCACCACCUUGAUGUAAUCCAGGGAACAGUUUGAUUUAGAUUAAAUUCAAGCCACUUUAUCAAGUAAAUAAAACAGAUUUACUAAACUGAUCAUUGAUUUUGUUUGUUAAUUUUAAGUGGGACAUGCUACUGUCAUUCUUAUUAGAUGUUAAGGUUACCUGCAACUUUAGCUAUGGAAAGCCCAAGGCCAAUGGAAGAAUAAGCGAAAGACAUGAUGGCUGCGAGAAUGGAUAGCCAUGAAAGGUUGUGAAAAUUUGGGAUUUGGCUGAGAACGAUUUGGAUGCAAGCAAAGAUGACCAUGAAAGGGUUGUUUGAUGUUUGGCACUUCACGUGAUGGCCAUGCUUGUGGAAGCAAUUUGACCUUUUGACAGCCCUGGUCAAAAUGCAAAUAGCGCACAACAAAAAACAAGCAGUUAAUAAAAUCAUUGUUACUGUAAAAGCUUAUAUAAAAAAAGGGCAGGGGGAUGUAGUUUAAUGUAUAAGUAAGAGAAAUUUACACUUACACCAUACUAAUGGAUGCGGUGAUAGUGUAACCAAUGGUUACUCCAACAAGAUUUGCAUAUUGAGCCAAUCCACAAAGUUGGACUUUUCUUCCUCCUGCAAAAAAGAUAAGAAAAAUAUAAACAUUGAAUAUGGUGUGCUUCCAUUAAUGUUCUUGACAGAAAAUCCACUUGGAUUUUGGGAUUGAAUUGAAAUAUCCACAUGGGGAAGUAGUUUUUCUCUUUAAAAUAUAGUAUAUUAUUCUUGGAACUGUAAACAUGUUAAAGAGGUAGCAGUAGAGAAGAAAUAAUACGUAGUGAACACUAAACAAUCAUUUAAUAUAGUAUUAAUGUGAAGAUUAACCGGUGAAAUUAGUACCUAAGUAAGCUCUAACAACAUCCAUGUAGGUGUAGUUUCGCUUUCCGUGGACAGGAUCAGGAGCUCUAUAGCAAUCAGCAAGGAGGGUGCAGGUGAAGUAGGUGAUGAAGGAGAAAGCCAUGAGAACAGCUGGUCCAACCACCCAACCCAACUGGGCAAUUGCCCAUGCAAGAGAUAGCACUCCAGAACCAAUCACAGCAGUGAUAAUAUGAGCACUUGCAGUAACCCAAGUCCCUUCAGGUAAAAAAAAAAAAAAUCAUCCCAAAGCAAGAACAAGCGUAUUGAAAGAAAAAAAAUGACCAUGCAUAAAAAUAAGCAUUUUGAGGGGAAGAAAACAAAUAACUACCGGUUCUUUUGGGUCGACCAUCAUCAUCCAAGUUCUUGCAGAUAUCCCCAUUCUCAUAAUCCCCAGGGUUUCUCUCAAUGAACAUGCUAGUCUUCUGCAUCUCUUUGGCCAUCUCUUCAGUUCGCCUCAAAGCUCUGUCUCUCAAGUGUUUCAAGCUAAUGUAUUGGAAAAGUAAAGAGCAAGAAGAGAUACGGAUUUUAGAGAGAAAAGGCAAGCAUAUAUAGGCAUGGUUGGAGAGGCUUGGGGCAGUGGGGCAGUGGAAUCACUGACAGUGUUUUGGGCACGUUGGAUGGUCGUCGUUUGGAGCUCGUGGUCUUCACUGAUGUAUAUGGGCUGUCCCCACUCCCCAUACUAAGGUUUUGGGGAAAAAUAAUGAUAUUCCAAUAGUAACCACCAAUCCAUUGUGAUAUUACAACAAAGCUGGGUUUUGACUAUGCCACUUUUCUAUUUACUAUUUACUACAGGUAGUAGGUUCCAUGAUUUGGGGUUUGGGAAACUAAAAGUGGGCUAUCCUUUUCCCCCAGCACUCCGAGGAACACGCGGACUUCGAAAUUUGAUUGACCCCUCCACGGUCAACAUUCGAUGGUGUGAUGAAUAAUAUCGGAGGCAGGGAAAGAUCAUUUUCUUAUGCGUUAGCUGCUCAAAGCAAUGCUCCUAAUGGAUUCUUUGAUUAGAUUUUUUGGUAGUUCAGGCCUCAUUUAUAAUGACAUAUACAAAUCACUUUCAUUUUUGUUAAUACAAGUUUUUAAUGCUUGUGAUUCCUAAUUAUUUUGUUAAUAAAUUUAACAUAAUAUGUAUGAAUUUUCAAGUUGCGGUAUUUGAAAAUUUAAUAUUUUAAUUAAUAUUUCUAUUAAAAAGAACAAUUCAAUUUUUUUUGAAAGACUAAUGAUCAGAUUCAACUCUUUUUAAAAUGUUAAGGAUAUUAAAUUUAUAAAUAUAAAAAUAGAAUAAAGUCUUUACCAUUAUAAUUAUAAGACAGAUGUAAUCCUCAUGUUUUUUUUUUUAAAGUCUUACGAGUAAAAUCAAAAUAUUAAUACAAAUAUAUUUUCAAACAACCACAAGUAUCAAACUAUUAUAGUACGGGUUUCCAAGAAAUUACAAAGAAAAAUCAAAUCAUUAAAGUAUAACCAGAAUAAGAACUAGUCUAGUUCAGACUAAAGUCAACAAUCUGGACUAAAGCCCAUACAUGUCAAUUGUACAUGAUAGACUCGAAAACCCACACAUAUAAUUGUGUAUGGUGGAUCUCGAAUUCAGAUGCUAAAGACUAACAACCUUCACCUAAUUCCUAUAGAUUAAGAAUGAAAUGAAUUAUAAUAAAAAGAUAAAAUUACAUCAAAUAUAUUAUUAUUGACCACUUUUUUAAAAAAUCAGAAAUAUAUAACAAACAUUGUAUUUUAUUUGAUAUUCGUGAAAUUAAUAAAUAAACUUUAUUCUAUUAAAAUCAUAUCUAUAUCAAAACAAUUAUUUUAUUAUAUUAAAAUUUAAAAUAAUAUUGAAGUAGUAAAAGUAUCAAUGGAAGGAUGAUGAAAAAUGUUAACAAAAAGUUUAAUAAAACAUUAAAAUAAUAAAUAUUUUAAUGAAAAAAGAAAACGUUGAAUAUAAAUAAAAAAAUCAAUAAAAUAUUAAAAUAAUUAAGAAUGUUAAACAAAGAAAGAGAACAUAACGUGAAUGAAAAAGAAAAAUAGUAUGAUCAGGCAAAAGGGAAAUAGGAAAGCAACUGGGGUUUCACUACCACCUUUUUGAACCAGUGUUUAUUUUUAAUGCAGUCUCAUGGUAUUUGAUUUUUUAUUUAACUGUAGAUAAAUAUUUCAUCUAUCUAAAAGAGCUCUAACUAUUUGAUUAUCAUAUCGUUAAACUCUUUAUAAUUUGUAUGGUUAUGAUUUUAGUUAACUUCGUCUUGGCUUACAAAUUCAUUGAUUGUAAAUUGUUGUAUUCAACUAAAACAAGUAAUUCUUUUAAGACUUUGGAAAGUUUAAAAAUAAAAAGUGAAUCGUAGUGCAGCUAUUAUUAGGCAUUAUUAUUGUCCGAAGAAUCGGCCCCUACGUUGGAGGAAGUAAACGACUUCUUCUUUUCAUCUUAUUGAAUUUGUUUUGCUUUUAUUUUACUUCUUUUGAGUGUUAAUUUGCUCUUUUUCCAAUUAGGUCAUAUAGGUAAGGCUAUAGAAUAUAUAUAUUUUUAGGCAGGCAAGCAUUUGCUCAAACACAUUAGCCAUGGAAUUUGGAAACGUUUGAGCACAACCAUGGACCGUGCUCGUAAUGGGGGGCUCUCCCUAAUCAUAACUUCCCUGACUUUGUUCCUAGAUAAUGCCCCAACUUUUACAUUUAAUAGGUGACAACACAUUGAAGAGUAUGGGUCUGAUCUUUAUACACCUCCCUCUACUGUGAUUGAUAUCACUUUCUCGUGCACUCCUCACGAAUUGGAUGCCGAUACUUUCGAUCCUUCGACAGCUUCUCUCAAUAUAUAUAUAUUUAUAUAUUUAAGUUUUGUCUCAAUUUAUCAUCUUUCUAGCAGGCUCUUUCCUUGACCUAACUUCUAUUUUUUUUAUUUUUUAUUUACAUUAAAGGGAAGACCAGAGACAGAGACAUCUCCCCAUCAAAAUAAUCAAGGACAAAACAGGGUUCUUAAAAAACCCGUAUGCGCUAUAAUUUUUUACAUACUACAAAAUAUGAUGCGAAUUUCAUCAGAAAAAGUGAAAAGGACGACAACAGACAAGAAGCAAUAGCCUGUUAUAAAUGUCUGAAAACUUAACCAGCUUUGCUUACUUCAAGUUGACAAGUUAACAGAAACACGGUAGUUUUGAUUGUUGUACUAUUGGUCGGAAUCUAUUAUGUCAGUUCACUAGUGGCGGCCCGGUCUUUUGCUUGCUGCUAACAGCCAGGCGUUUUCAUAGAGUUUCGCCUUGGACAACAAUAGCUCUGAGACAGAGCCUCCUCUGCUUUCUUUUUCAUUCUUCCUCUCUUUUUUCUUUCUUUUUUGGGUUCGACUUUUUCACUUUUAUUUGACGCAAGUGGAAUUUAGAUUCACGGAAUGAGUUGACUUCAUUGAUCUUGCAUUGACUUCUGAAAAACGUGGUGAGCUUUAUUUUCAACUUGGAAGUACAUGAGAAGUUGGAUUUAACUAAAACAAAACUUGCUUGGUGCGUCAACAGUAUUACCUAAUAUUAUCCUCAUAAUUAGGCUAUUUUACUAAAUUGACCUAAAAAAUUUUAAUAUUUACAAAAAUAACUUAGGUUCAAAAACAAUCACCAAAAUGACUUGAAAUGAGCAGUAGAAUGGGGUUUUAGCCUGUCAAUGCCACCAUCAACUCAUAUUUUAGACUCAUGAUUGCCUAAUAAUUAUGUCAAGCUUUAAAAUUUUUUUUUGUUUUUACCUGUCAAUGGCCGGCACCAGGGUAUUUUUUUUUAAAUCGUAUCACACUGGUAUACAAAAAUACCAAUAUUUAAAAAAAAAUUUGGUGCUGGCCUAUCAAUGGCCUGCACUAGAGUACGAGUUUCAAAAAAAAAAUUGGUACUGACCUGUCAAUAUAUAUGUAUCAAAAAAAAAAAUUUGGCAUUGGCCACUGACAGGCCUGCACCAAAAAAAAAUUACCAGAUAUAUAUGUAUUUUAUCUUUCAUUUGAGUUUUUUGUUUGCUUUUUAUUUAUUUUAAAAAUUUUAGUUUUUUCUUUGUCGAGAAGAAAGCACCAAAAUUUUUUUUCUUUCACAUAUAUAUCUGAAACUCGUACUCUGGUGCCGGCCAUUGACAGGCCAGCACAAAAAAUUUUUUUUUUUGUACUUAGUGCCUACUAUCGAUAGACCAGCACCAAUUUUUUUUUAAAAUGCUAAUAUUUUUGGAUACUAAUAUGAUACGAUUUUAAAAAAAAUACUUUGGAGCCGGCCAUUGACAGGCCAAAACAAAAAAUAAUAAUUUUUUAAAGCCUGACGCAAUUAUCAGGCAAUCGUGCAUGGGUCCAAAAUACAAGUUGGUGGUGGCCAUUGACAGGCCAAAACCUUAUUCAACUGUUCAUUUUAGGUCAUUUUGGUGAUUGUUUUUUAACCUAAAUUAUUUUUGUAAAUAUUAAAAAUUUUUAGGUCAAUUUAGUAAAAUAGCCUCAUAAUUAGUUAGACGAGGAUAGAUAGAGAAAAUAUUGUAUGAAAUAGAGAUGUCAUAUUAUUUUGUAUUUUUUAUUAAUUAUUUAAUAUUAUUUCAAUACUUUUUUAUAUUUUUAACACACCAUUUUAAUAAUUUUUUUAAUGUAAACUUUGGACCUUAAACUUUGAACCCUGAACUUUAAAACUUUGGAUAUUUAAACUUAAAACCCUAAACCUUGAAACAUUGAACCCUAAACUAGAGUCCAAGGUCCUUAAGUUAAAAAGUUACCAAAAUGAUGAGUUAAUGGCAUGAAAAAAGAUAUUGAAAUGACAUUAAAUAAUUAGUAAAUGAUGCAGAAUAAUGGGACGUCUGUAUUUCAUACAAUCCUUUCUUGAAUAAGUAUUAAUCACAAUCAAAGAAUAAAAGUAUACUGUGCUUUAAACCCAGGGGUGAAGCCAACAAAUUAUUUCAAGGGUUCGAAAUUAAAUUGUAAUUUUUAUGAUAAUAAAAUGUAAGUAUUAAAAGCUUAAAUCAAAAUUUUAUUAUUUUUAGGAGAUAAAAUAUAAUUUUAUUUUUAUUAAUUUAAAAUUUUAAAAAUUUUAAAAGAUUAAAAUAAAGAAAUUGCGGUCCGUAGAUUCGCUGCUGUUUAAACCCAAGGUAUUUAACAUAUGGAGAUGCCACAUGGGCUAAUUACUUUAAAGUAUCUCCAUAUGUUUAACACACGCUUGUUUAUACACCAGCACCCUUUUUUUAUUUUUUAGAACGAAAUACUUUUUCAUAUUGUAACGAAAAUACUCAGUUUAUGUUAUUUUUUAUUUCAAUAAAUAAUAAUUCUUCAUGAUUCACGGACUUGGUGGCGCGUUCGUUGCGGCCACUGGAGAACAUCACCAAAACCAGCACUAAAGGUCGUAAUAAUUGCCAAUUUAACUAGUCAAAUUCAGUCGUCUGAAUUUAAACUUUAUUUUUUUUUCACAGCUGCUGUGUGAGACUUUAAUUAUGUGCCUAUUAGCUCGGGUCAAUCCGACAAUCAUCGAAAGCCACCUGAAAUCCACGAUAUCCCUCGAAAAAUUCAAAUCCGACAGCUCUGGAAUUUGCAAGAACAGGACAGGUCUUUUAAGAUCUCAACAAAACGGUAAUGAAACACCUAAAACCUGACAAAACAAACGAGAGGAUGGUGGAAGGAAGGGUUGUAAAGGAUCAAGAAAAAAACAAUGAUAAAUGAGCUUUAUUCAUUGCACGCCUAUUGUCGCGUUUAUCUUAUCACCACCUGCUUAUGGGCUAUGGCUUUUGCAUAAACAACGACAGUGAAAAGAAAAAAGAAUACGGGUCCACGUCCCAUACUUGUAUCGUGAUAGAGAUGACUCCAAAGCAGAGGGGUCUACGGUAUGGCCAUGGCAGCCGCCACACUUUUUUUUUCUUCUUUUUCAAUAAAUAAAGAUACUUAAUAAAAUUUUUAAAUAUUAAACAAUAUUUUUUAGAUUUAAGGAAUAACUUAUCUAUAUAUACGUUUAAGCAUGACAAACAAAAUGGGAAACUGAAUUUCACAUGGAUUGCUAUUUACGAAUAAUUGACUGAUUUAUUAUCAAUAAUAUUAUUUAGCAAAUAGCAAGGGACCACCUGUAUCAAACUUUUUUUAAAAAAAAAAAGAAAAAGAAAAAGAAAAUCAGUUCAAGUAGAAUAGAAAUCCACUGAGGUCUAAGUCAACAGCGUGAUCCUGGAUAUGCACAGUAAGAUUCUGGGUGUGUAUAAUCUAAUAAAAUUUUGAUUGUAGUUUAAAUGUAUAAUGAAACUUUAAUUUUAAUUUAAUCAUACACAUUUGAAGAAAACAAAAUAUUAAUUUAUUCUAAAUUGGAUAAAUAUAAUUAUUUGAAUAUGUAAUAUAUAAAUAUUAAAUAAUGUUAUAUCAAUAAUUAUAUUAAUAAUUUGUGAGAAUUAAAUCAAAUUAAAAUUUAUAUAUAAAAUUGUAUAUAAAAUUAAAGUUUUUAUUUUUAUUUUUUAUCAAUCAUAAAUGUCAAAGUUUCAUAAGGGAAAAUAAGGGGAAAACUCAGUAAGAUUAAAGAUAUUUUGUUUCUUUUACUUACGAAAUAAAGUCACUAAUAUUGUUUUAGAAAAAUAUGACUUUUUUCUCCUUAGAAACAUACCCAUCCAUAUUUCAUAAAGGCUCGUAUAUAUGCAUGCAUGUGUAAAUGAAAUGAACUCCAAAAACACCACGUUAAAACAGGGAACAUUAUCAAUAAGUAAAAAUAAUUUAUUUUUUGUUCUUCACAAAGAAUCAAGCACAAAAAAAAAAAAGACCACAUUCCGAGAGCUCUCUUCUCUUCAUUUCAUUUAAUUUAUUUUUUAAUAUUCCCUUUUUUAGGUUUUUUGGUUUUGAAAAACCUAGUUUUAGAUUUUUAUCGCUCACACAUAAAAGGAUGCAGAUCUAAGCCCAGGUUUGUCCUUCUUCUGUUUCUAUCUCGUAAUUUUCUCUCUUUUGCCCAUCAUUUUCUUUUCAUUUUUCGUGUUCAUUUUAAUUUAAACAUCAAUUUCGUAGUCUUUUUUAUUCUUAUUUUUGAGGUUAUAACUUGUUGUAAAUUAACAGUCACAAUUUUUUUCUGAACAAAGCCUAUUCGAUUUUCUUUAUAAUAUCAAAAUGUUUUUCUUUUGCUCUUUUUGUCAAUAAAAAACUAGAAUUUACCUUAGGUUUAAACAGCACAUUUUUAUAAUGUAGCAGCUAUCCUUCAAUGCAAAAAAAAUAUAGCAGCAUUUUAUUAGCAUUAUCGUCUCUAAAUUCUAAUUUGAAGUUCUAAAAAGAGUUUGAUUAUUUCUUUCUUAAAUUUUGUUUAUUGUAAUUCCUUAUUUGCAGUUGUUGGCACUAGUUUUGUACAAGGAGAAUUUAAAAACCUUCGAUGUAUAAAGAGCUGCUUUUUUUAAGAUUCCAUGAGAAUAUAAACGCAAAUUCUAUGGGAAUUUACUUAAGGAGGGAUGCAAGAUUUGGGGAUACUUGAUUACAUACUUUUCAAUGUCUUGGGUAGUCAAGUUGUUUGAAUAACAGGCAAGGGAGACAAGCAAAAGGGUUACCAGAUGCAAAGCCGGACCCGGCUAUAUUACAGCCGGUGGUCAUGUUGGAUACAUCCCAUGAGAUUGCAAUUUACCUUCAUAGGUUUCAUAACCUCGAUCUUUUCCAGCAAGGGUAUGGAAGGAAUUUUUGUGUUUUAUGUUUGUUUUGAGUUCUGCACACCAUCCUUCUUACGUUUGUUGUGGGUUUAGAUGGUAUCAACUUAAGAUUACCGUGAGAUGGGACAAUGAUGCACAUGCUACGACCGCGAUGCCUUCGAGAGUCUUGCAAUAUGAAGGUAACUUGUUAACUUAUGAAACAAUUUAAAUGUAGCUACACUGUAGUGUUUUCUACUGAAACCGGUCCCUCUAGAGACCUAAAUUGGGAAGCGCCACUGCUGAUAGAAGAAUAUGCUAUGGUAGCCGGUUCAUUGAUCAGAAUAGUUUUGAUGCAGUUGAAGCAAACAAAUUUAAUAUCUUUUGAUAUUUAAGAUCGACCAUUUAAUUUCAUCUUGUUCAAUAGUGAAAAUAUUUGGAACUAUAUGUUGUUUAUUCCUACUUAUUUUUAAGUUUGUAUAUGCUUUCAAAGUACAAUGUUAUAGUGUUCUCAAGCAGCUUUUUGCUAAUAAGACUAGAAAAAUAUUGCAGCUCCAAAUUUUGGUUGUGAGGGUGGUGGAUAUGGAGUAUGGAGGAUUGAUGAAAAAGACAACAGUUUUUUAACACAGCCUUUUCGAAUCAAAUAUGCGAGACAGGAUGUUCUUUUAUUUACCAUGGUUGCAUUUGAUUUACCUCUAAAGGGAAAUGAGGUACGCAAUCUCUCUGUGCACAUAUCGACAUGCUCACACUUCACACUCCUUUUAGCCGGAGAGCAAACCAAUUGCAGAACUUACAGACUCCAUAAACUUUCAUUAGAAUAAUAUAUUACUCUAUGUUAGUCUAUGAUAGUUUUGAAUGGUUUGAUCGCUGUCUAAAACCUAUAUUCCAAUAGAAAUGACCAUGGAUUUUCCUGAAAGUUAUGACUUGCACCAGUAUUCGCUUCAUUUGAUUUUGGUAUUGAAAAGGACUUGCAUAUAAGUUUUUCUACCUUGAUUGGUUUGGCUAUCGGUUUGCUAAUGUUCUCCUAUAUCCCGUUAUGGUGGUGUUGAUGUAACAUUGUGUGACAGGGUCCUUCAACAUCAGCUGUCGUUUUGAAGUUUGAGCUUUUGUAUGCUCCUCUGUUGGAUAAUGGGUAAGUUUGACAAGUUGCAUGUGUGUUUCAUUUCUGUUAUUAUUUUCUUUCUGCAAGUUAAAAGGUUACAUAAUCUAUCCGAAUGCACUGUAUUCAGUUCUGAGUUUCAGGCUUCUCCAGAUAGUUGCCCUGCUGCUGUCCAUGAAUUUCGGAUACCUUCUAAAGCUCUUUUAGGACUGCAUUCCUAUUGCCCUGUUUAUUUUGAUGCAUUUCAUGCUGUUCUUGUGGAUGUAAGUGUUCACAUCACUCUCCUAAAAGCUGGUUCCUACCAUGACUCAAUGAAGGUAUCCAGGUUUGUCACAGAUUCUAGAAAUAAUGGUUCUUGGUGGAAAUGAGAGGAAGGAAGAGGGAUAGUUUAUUUAUAAAGAUAAUUGUGUUCUAUCGAUUUGUUGAAGUAACUUGAACUGUUGAAUUGUUUCAGCAAUUCGCGUACUGCCACUGCUGAUGUUGCACAUGAAAGUACUGGUGGAUCAACUCAAGUUCGUUCUAAACAUCGAAUAUUCAUAUACAAUAACCCAUCCCCUAAUCGCAACUUGGUCUAUUUUUGUAUUUACUUGAGCGUGGAAAAUCAUCUUAUUUCUUUAAUGUGGCUUCUUUUUGUCCUUGCUAAUCAAUAUUCUAUGUACUGACAGUUCAAUUAUGUGAUUGAGCAGGCGCUGAAUCAAGCGGCUCCGAGUGACCUGAAACAGGUCAUGCUUGUAAAGGCAUUAUUAGAUGCUCGUGAAACCUUGAUUGUAGAGCUACAAAAGCUUGGAAGUGCUAUUAACCGAACUGUUGAUUUGACUGAAUAUACCUCCAGAAUGAAUGAUACGAAGUUAUUUGAUUCAUUUCUCCAAGCAAAUCAGGUUACUGCUGAUAACGAAGUUUCCGGACAAGGCAAGCCACAAAACGGUCCUGAGGUCCUUGCUUUAUUUUACCCAGCAGCACAGUCUAUUUCUUAUCUUCUACAUUUUCUUUUACAGUUUUAUAGUUUUAUUAAAGAUUAAAAUUACAAUACUUUCCUCUCUUUUAACAGAAAGCUAAUGGCGGAUUAGAUUUUCAAAGUGAUCGAUUGCCCCAGAACUUAUCCAAAGAUGAUGUAACUAGAAUGUUUAAUAUAUCUGGUGAUCAAGUGUUACAUUUGUGGAGCACUUUUCUGACUUUCCACAGGUUAGUUCAUUACAUUUUUACUUCUAGUGCUUAUUUUAGGUAUUGAAAUUGUAUUUCAUUCCAGGGAUAAUAAAACAAAGAUAAUGGAAGUCCUUCAUGAUGCAUGGGCUAAGGAUCGGAAAGCUGAAUGGUCGAUAUGGAUGGUUUACUCUAAGUCUGAAAUGCCUCAACAUCAUAUAAAUGGCAGUUCUGAUGAGAGAACAACCCACCAUGUUGGGCAUAAGAGGGGUUCAAGUUUGUGGAAGUUAUCUGAUGAUGUGAACACUUAUUUAUGUUUUCAUUGAGUAAAUAUGUUGCUCUUAACUUACAUACUCAGUGAAGAGCAACACUAGUUUUUUCGCUCGUUUCUAAUUUUGGGAAAUUGAUAUUGUGCAAUGCAGCCUGCGCAUAUGGCAGCUAUGCGGGCUGACCUUCAUCGACGGAGUAUUGGACAAAUGAAGGUAAGUUACUUUAUUUAACAGUAAUAGUCCUUAUUCCCAGUUUUAAGUGGCAAAGUUUGCUUGCACACAGAUUAAAAAUCGGUCAAUCCAAGACAUGCAAAUAUUUGGAGAUCCUUCAGCGAUUCCUAUUGUAAUUGUAGAACGUGUUCUGAAUACUCCUCAACGUAGUUUAAGUUAUAACUCAUACAUGAAGAAUUUGGACCUAAAGGAUUCAGUUCCCUCGCGCAUUGAUGUUAGUUCUGAAGAUGGGAAAAAGCCAUCAAGUGCAACUACUGCAAAAAAAGUCCGUGAUUUGAAGAUUGUUGUUUUUGUGCACGGAUUUCAGGCAAGUUUUACUCUCAUAUACUUGUUCCUUAGGUUGUACCUUUAAUGCCUUAUUUCGAUAUUGUCUAUUCCCAAAUGAACCAUUUGAGUCAGAGUAUGUCCUGAAGUAAUGGUUAUUAGAGACCGAUGGGUAAGUCAGUUAAUAAAUGUCUAAUCCUAUGUUGCAUACAAUAGGGGCAUCAUCUGGAUUUGCGGCUUGUUCGCAACCAAUGGCUUUUGUUGGAUCCAAAGAUCGAGUUUCUCAUGUCGGAGGCAAAUGAAGAGAAAACAUCUGGAGACUUCAGAGAAAUGGGACUGAGGCUGGCGCAGGAGGUGAUUUCUUUCCUUAAAAAGAAAAUGGAUAAAGCUGCAAAAUAUGGACGCCUACGAGAUAUCAAACUUAGUUUUGUCGGCCAUUCUAUUGGAAACGUCAUAAUAAGAACAGCAAUAGCAGGUAGAUACACUCUUGUUGAUUCCCCUUUUUUGUAUUUCGAAAUGCCUGCUAGAUAUAUAUGCAUUUCUUUCUGCAGACACUGUUAUGGAACCUUACCUGGGAUACCUUCAUACAUACCUAUCUCUAUCUGGUCCACACUUGGGAUAUCUAUACAGUUCAAAUUCUUUAUUCAAUUCCGGAUUAUGGGUUUUGAAGAAGUUCAAGGGAACACAAUGCAUCCAUCAGCUCACGUUCACCGAUGACCCCGAUAUCUGUAACACUUUCUUCUACAAACUUUGUAAGGUAUUGAGAUCGAAGUAGCAUUAUCGUUUUUUAAGCUCCAAAGUUCUGAAAUCGUAUCUUUGCUUCUUUCAGCAAAAAACUCUGGAAAAUUUCAAGAAUAUAAUCCUCCUCUCUUCACCCCAGGUAUUCCAUGCCGCUUCCAAUAACUAUAUUAACUUAAAAUGUUCUACGUUUAAGGUCAUUUAGACAUGAUUUUUCUCUCAGGAUGGCUACGUCCCGUAUCAUUCUGCGAGGAUUGAGUCAUGCAAGGCAGCAUCAGUGGACAACUCGAAAAAGGGAAAAGCAUUUUUGGAGAUGUUGAAUUCUUGUUUGGACCAGUUACGAGCUCCUACAACUGAAGAUCGAGUGUUUUUGCGAUCCGAUGUCAACUUUGACACAUCCGCUUAUGGCAAGAACUUAAACUCGUUCAUUGGACGGGCUGCACAUAUCGAGUUUUUGGAGUCCGACAUUUUUGCUCGCUUCAUUAUGUGGUCAUUUCCGAAUCUGUUUAAAUAAUUGUCACGAGCAGUCCAUCAUUUCUGUUGUUCCACUUUAUUCGAUCCCUGGUCUCCAUAUUGAUUGCGAAAUGCUGAGCUUGUGAUCUCGGUUUCUAGUUUUCGAGCAUCGCAGUCACAAAAGAGCAACAUUGGUGUAUAGGAAAGUGCAGUUGCUAGAUUAACAUUAUUUUCUCACCACAUAACAUGUAGCAUAACAUUAAAAGAAAAUCUAAUAGUUAAUUGGGGUGAGAAGGGUUUAUGUAAUAAUUACUCACACAUCUGACAGGUAGAUAAUUGUAUCGGUAUUGACCGUAAAAUAUAGGUUUGAAGAUGCUUCUGUAACCAACAUGGACCCUAACAUUUAUCUCUGUUAGAAACAAACUCUUCAGAGCUGACACAACACAUUUUUAAUUAUAUAAAAAUUUUAAAUUUAAUAUUAAAUAAUAAAUCUUCACCUUCAUCCGCUUUCGCUCAUCACCAUCAAUAACCGAAAGGGACUUCGUGAUUUUAUAUUCAUAGUUGUGCAAAUCAUACCAUAGAAAAGGUUACCAACUUGGCCAAAAUUCCAUAGGAAAUGACGAAUAAUUUGCCAUGUUCUAUAUGAGGGAGGACUGAGGAGCUAUCUACGAAUGAAGAGAAAGGUAAUGGUGUCGACAUGGUAUGGUGGUGGUGGGCGGCAUGACGGCCACACAAACAAAUAUAAUGGCAGCGAGGGUCAAAGCACAGAGAAGUUUGAUGCCACAAUUGUUUGAGAGGUGGAACAAUGGAGGCAAUAUGGAAAGUGGGCUUUGCGUAGAGUGUAUUGGAAAAGGGAAGAGAGAGAGAUUUUAGAUAACGGAGGACCGUGGAGAUUUUUUUUUUGGGGGGGGGGGGGGGGGGGGGGCAGGGUUUGAGAAAGGGGCUGGUGGGAAAAUAUGAAAGAGGAGAGAGGAUGAAAAUGGAGGAAUUGGAAAGGAAGAAGGUAAAGAUAGAGGAGAGGAAUAUAAUAUUAAAUCAUUAUUCAAUUUUAUUUAAUAUUAAAUUUUAAAAUUUUAAAAUAUUCUUAAAUUGAUUUCUAUUUUUUUAAUAGAGGGUAAUCAUUGAACCAUAAUGAUCAUGAAAUUAUAAUUUAAAAUAUUCGAUUAGACUAAAAAAAUAUAACGUGAGGGCUUAUUUUUUAAUUAAGCUGAUGCUUCUUUUUUUUCAAAACGUUAACAUUUUUUUUAAUUCCUAGCAUUGAACCUUAACCAUGGUCCGAAUAUAUUGGCUUCUGCUUCGUUUAACUUGAUGCAACGUUUUUAUUGAUCGAGGUAUCCUUUCGUAUGGGAAAGCCAUUUUUAUACAUGGGAGAUUUUUAUUUUUUUUGAGUUUGAUAUUUACUUUUAAAUUCUUGUUGUUAAGAUAAAUUUUGAGUAAUAUUUAUAUUAGUCUCAAUUGGUAGUAACAUUGUCUCUUCAAAAAACUUGUAAUAUUUAAGUUGAUAAAUUUUGGCAACAAAAAUCUUUGAACUAUGAUUUUUUAUUAAUACUUUGGAUGACAAUUAACCCAACUUUGAUAUCUAAACUAUACGUAGCAAUAUAUCUUAGAGAUUGGUCCGGAUUCGGAUCGAAGCAAUCAACUUCUUGGAUUUGGAGGAUUGAAUAAGGAAAAACUUGAAAGUAUAUCCUGAAGAUUCAAGGUUUAUCCUAAGUUAAUUCUUUAUGCUUAUUACCUUGCUUGUUUUGAGGGAAGAUUGAUUGUAAUUGACAUAAUAUGUUAGCAAGUCUCAAUUCCUUAUAUGGUGGAGACUUUUAUAGUUAUUGUAAUGAACUGAAAGCACUUUAUCUUGUUCAUUGAGGGACGUUUAUUUGAGUGCAUUGAGUGAAUAAUCAAGUGUGUGGCUUGAUUAAUAUCCUAAAUUUUCACAGGAAAAACUUAGAAAAGAGUUGUCUAAACCUUAGGUACAUGAAGACUUUGAUUUGGUGUGUAUUAGAGGUUGAAAUCACUUGUUCUACGAGGAGUUAAGAUAGUGAAUAUUCUAUAUGCGCAAUGCCCCAUAGAUGUAGGGAAAUCAAACUGUAUAAAUAUAUCGUGUGUUUAUCAGGUUUUUUUUCCUUGUUCAUUUUUAAUGCCUGAAGUAAUUGGAGCUAGUCUUAGUACUGCUUCUGGCACUACUUGUUUUCUACCUGCAAAUAUCAAUUUUGGACUCGAUAGUUGUUGAUGUGUAUGUACCGCUUGGCAUACUUUUAAUUCUCAAAGUCCAUUUAAAAGUAAAGAAAUCAUUUGACUUAUUCCAGAACUUAGACAUUGAGAAGUCUAUUUCUUUGAAGGUGGCUCUUACCAACCAAUCUUGUGACAGCCCUAAUUUGACCCUAGUCGGAAAGUGGUUUCGGGACCACAAAACCGAGUCAAAAAAAUAAUUAACCGUUAUAUUCUAUACUUAUUAUAUAUGUAAAUGCAUGUGUGAAAGUUUCAUGCUUUGAUUUUGUCAUUUUUAUGUGAAAUUUAUUAAAUAGGACUUAUGUGAGACAUUUUGAAAUGUGAUAAGUUAAAUUAUAAUGGUCUAUUAAUGCAUGUUAUAAAAAAGAAUGGACUUGCAUGUCAAAUUAUCCAUUUUUAGAUAGUGGCCGGCCAUGUUGUUAUUUAAUAUAUAAUAUAUGUAUUUUCUAUUAGCAUUAUUUCAAUUAAAUGGCUUUAUAUUAUAGAAUAAUGAUUAUUAAAAAUAGAAAAUGGGUGAAGAAAACAAGGUGUUCAUCUUUUGAUUUCUUUGGCCGAAAAUUCUAAGAAGAGAAGGGAGGGGAAACAAGCAUUCGGCUACUCAUUUGUAGUCUUGAUUAAGGUAUGUUUGAAGUGUUUUGAAAGAAAUUACUUGUGUAUUUUAGGAUAGUUUCUUAGUUCCUCCAUAACCCAUGUGCAAAUUUUCAUUUUGGUAGCUAUGGGAGCAAUCGGUCAUGAGAGGAUUUUUCAUUUAGAAAUGAUACUUUGAUGUUUUGUUUUGAAUUAAUAAAAGUACUCCAUUCAGUUGAAAUUAUAAAAGUAUGUUAAGUUUAAAAAAAGUUUGAAUUUGUAAAUGUAAAAAUUAAGUGUGCUUGUGUUAUAGCCGAAUAUACUUUGAAAAUUAUAAUGGAGAAAUUCUUAUGAUAUAAGCUUGUAAAUUGAAGUUAUAAUUUGUGCUUUGUAGUUUUAAAUGGUUAAAGACUAUUCGGAUAUAGCCUUUAUUUUUCAUGAAGAAAUCAAGUUAAAUGUAAAUGUGCCUAUGUUAUGGCUGAAUGUACUAAGGGUGGAUUAAUAUGGAGUUUAAUGUUAUAUUGAUUUGGGUUUGAUAGUUUUUGAAAAAUAUAAAUAAAAUUUUGUGUAUCUAAUUUGAAAUGGCCGAAUGGAUUAUAUAGAGUGAUUUGAGAUUUUGGAUGCUUUGUUUUGUGGCAUUCGGCUAUGAUAAAAAAAAAUUGUAUCAGGGAUUUUAGAGAUGUGAAUUGGUAGGUGAUAUGUAUUUAAAUUGUUUAUUAAGGUGUUGGCUAUAUGGUUAAAAAUGUGCACAUGAACGUAUAAUAGGUCAAAUGAAUUUUAUGUUUCUAUAUGUAUGAUUUAGUUGAUGGUGUGAUAUAUUAGCAUACUUGGAUAUUGAUGUUUGUGUGUCUUGUGUUAAUAUGAUAAUCGGCCAUAAGCAUGAUUAAAUGGUUCGGUCAUUGUUUGGCAUAGGUGAAAUCUAUAUGAAUUUGUUACGUUCGGUCAUAAAAUGGAAUUUAAUAUGAAGGCUAAGUUUGAGUAGUUAAGGCCGAAUGGGUUAUAGAUUAAACAUAAACGGAUUUUAUGCAUAUGAGUAUGUAUCUAUUUGUGUGUGUGGCAUUGAUGAUAAAUGGCAAUUGGUAAUGUGGUAAAUGUUUAAUAAGUUGACAUUCGGAGUUAGCUAACUGUCUUGGAGCUAUAGUGUAAUUUGAAAAAUAAAUAAAAGUAUAUGAUAUUAAAGCAUGCAUUAUAUAUAUGCAUGUGUAUACGCGGUUGUGCAUAAAUAUGAGUAAAUGAUUAAAUUUUGAUAGUCAUAUAUAGGUAUAUAUAUAUGCCUUAUGUAUGUACUUUGUGCUUAUAGAGACAUUCGGGAAUCUGGUUAAAUUCAUGUAUAAGGAAGCAUGAUAAGUUAUGUGAAUCUUUGCUUGUGUAUGCGAAUUAGAUAUAGAUUAAAUAAGCAUGAAAUCGAGUCAUGGCAUAUUUUAUAAAAUAUAAUACAUAUUGAAGUUAUAUAUGAUUGUCAAAUGUGACUAUUAAGAAAUAAAGUUGAGUAAGUAAUUAAACAAAUCUAUUUGUUUUAAUUAAGCUCAAGAGCAAAGAGGAUCAAAGUCAGAUAAGGGAAAAGAGAAAGUAAUAGAGUAGCCUUUCCGCAACCGUUCAAAUAUAUCCGAGGUAAGUUUUGGAGUAAUCACAUUUAUUAUAUAAUUGAUGAUGUCAUGAGAUAAGUAUGAUAGAUGAAUUGCGACCUAUUGUUUCUACUUGAAUGAGGUUGUUUGAUAAAUAAAUUGAGUAUAUGGCAUGUAACCGAAUGGUUAUUAGGAGUUAAGCCGAGAUAGUGAAAUGGUUAUGUGUUCUUGUAUAUGAAUAUUAAACCGAAAUUUAUGUUGAAGGUGUAUUUUUUUGUGCUUAUAUUCGAGUGAAGAAAUUGAAUUAGUAAUGUGAUAUGUUAUGUGAAUUGAGUUAUCCUGUGAGUAAAUAUGCUUAGCACUCGAUAUAUAUAUUCGGGUUAAGUCUCGCAGGCUUCGUGCUGGUAAUAUAUCCGGGUUAAGUCCCGUAGGCUUCGUGCUGGUAAUAUAUCCGGGUUAAAUCCCGCAGGUUUCGUGCUGGUAAUUUAUCCGGGUUAAAGUCCCGCAGGCUUAGUGCUGGUAUUAUAUCCGAGUUUAAAGUCUCGCAGGCUUUGUGCUGGUGACUGAAUUCGGGUUUUAAACCUAGCAGGCUUAACGCCGGUGAUUCGAGUAAGAUUAUGAAUUCAAAAGUUCGAGGUAAACUACUAUUGAUUAUGUAUGAUACAUUAUGAUGGUCAGGUACGUAUUAUGUACUCAUAUGUAAAUUGAUUUUUAAAGUGAAUUAUUAUUAUCAAAGAACGAUAUAUGUGUGUGGAUGAUUACUAUAUCUACGAAUAAGAGAAAGACCUAUUCGGUUGAUGUCUGUCAUUAUAUGAAAGUAUGUGACUUAAAUUAAUUGUAUGAGCUAUAAAGUAAAGUAAAGUAUGUGCUGAAAUUUCUUUGUGUAUUCAUAUAUAUAUACAUAUAUAUUUGGCCAAUAGGCUUUAUAAUUGGUGUACUUGUGUAUAUUCGGCCAAGUGAUUUGUAAUUAGAAUACUAGUUUUGUGAUACUACAUGCUCGAUUUAAAUGACAAGUUUAAUUUGUUUGUAUUGCUUAAAACUUACUAAGCUUUGAAAGCUUACUCUGUUCUUUAUUUCCCUGUUUUAUAGAUUGUUGAUUUUGGUCACCGACGCGGGGAUCGUCAGCAGUUCAUCACACUAUCAAUCUUUUUGGGUACAGUUAUAUUUUGGACUCGAUAUGGCAUGUAUAGGUUAGGCUGAUGAUAACGAUGUUUUGAAAUUGUAAAUAUUUUAGCCAUACGAAAAUGGAGUAUAACUUACAUAUCAGUAUGUAUUUCAGCUUGAUCUCUCUUUAUGUUUAUUUACGAUGUGAAUGAGAUUAUUAAAUGUUUAAUUUGGUAAUACCUCUUAGCCUUAAUCUGGCGAUCUGAUUCAGGUUUGAGGUGUUACAAAUCUUUUAGGAGAAAAUAAUAGUUUGUUACUAACCAUGGUUUUCUUUUAUCUGCUUCUUCCUAGUAAUGCUUAUUAUUAAAAAUAAAUAGAAAGAUAUUUCGCUUUAGAUCGUGAACUUCCAUCGGCCUUUGGAGGGGUCGGGCUUUAGAGAGAAUGGCUUUAACAUGUAACGACUCGAACUUCAAGGUUAUAGGAAAAAUAUAUUUUCGGGUCUUUAUUUCUGAAAAAUAGAUUAGAAAAUAUUUAUGAAAAAUAAUUACGAAGUUAAUUGAGUAAUUAACUAGGCUUUAAGUGAAUUUAGCUUAAUUAAGAGUAAUUAGGAAAAUGACUAAAUUGAAUAAAGGAUGAAAGUUGAAUUAUAUAUUAAAAGAAAAUAAAAAGGACCAAAUAAGGAAUUAUACCUAAUGUAUGAAUUUAGGCGGCAAAAGAUGGAAGAAUCUAGGAUUUUCUUAGAUUAAUUAAUUUAUUUAUUAUUAUAGUCAUUAUUAUUUAAUUGAUAUUAAAUUAUUAUAUUAUGAAAUAAAUAAACGAAAGACAAAUGUAUAGUGAUAAUUUAAUACAAGUGUAUGAAAAAAAAUAAAAAAAUAAAAAAAAUACAUGUGUAAUAAUUAUUGUAAAUACAUUUGUAAUACAUGUGUGCAAUUACUUAUUAUUUAAGUAAAUAUUAAUGUUAUUAUUAUUAAAUUGAUAUUAUAUUAUUAAAUAAAUUAAAUAAAGACAAAUGUGUGGAUAUGAUUUGAUACAAAUGUAUUAAUAAAAAUACACACAUUUGUAAUACAUGUAUUUGAUAUUAAAUAGAUAUUUAUUAUUUAGUAAAAGAUAUUUAUUAAUUAAAUAAUUAUAUUAUAUGAUAUGAUUUUUAUGUGAUGAAUAAAUAAAAGUGUGACAAAUGUAAGGAUAUAAAUGGAUACAAAUGUUAAAUAAAUAUUGGUUAUUUAAUAGAUUUUUAUUAAUAGAUAUUUAUAAUGUUAUUAUAUUGUAUAUAUAUAUAACAAAACUAAAAAGAAAAGAAAGAAAAGAAAUAGAAUAGGCAAACGUGAAGCAGGGGAAGGAAAGGAAGAAAGAAAUGAAAGAAAAAAAAGGAAAAUUCAAUGCUUGAAGCUUUAAAGUUUAAUAGGUUAAGGCUAGACCGUUGAAUCAACAUCCCAGGCCGAUCCCGAAUUCAAUGAGGUAAAGUAUAUUGAGUAUUGGUAAUGACAUGUACCUAGGAUGUCUUAUGAGAGUCAUUUAGGUUGUGAAAGUAUUGAUAAAAUAAGUAAAUUAUGGCUGGCAAUGGUAUAUAGUAUGAAUUUGAAAUUUGAAAGAAAAAUUCGUAGUAAUUCUCAUUUAGUCCCGAAUUGAUUUUAUUGUUCAUAUUGGACCGUGAGGACCCAUUAAAGGGAUGUCAUCUUAAAAUUAUGAUGAGUCUGAACGUUUAUAUUUAAUUAAUGUCUGUAUUGUACUGUACUAAUUGGUAAUGUCUCAUAACUCUGUUCCAGCAAUGGUAUGGGGUUAGAGGUCGUUACAUAACAAGACCUAACUUCUCGUUUUUUUCAACUAUGACCUUACCCACGAAAGAGUUUCUCUUGAUCUUUUUUGCAGAUUUGUUUGUCUAGUUGGAGGUCUAACAUCUCCAUGUCAAAAACCAAUUCUUCUUAUUCUUCUGAUUUGGUGUUGGGAUUAGUUGGUUCAAUAAUUGUGUAAACUUGAAGUUUAAGUACCUAUUGGUAGUUCGCAAAGAAAUAAAGGAGAAAAAGUUGUAACAACCAUAUUAAUUAAUAAUGAGACAAUCCUAGAUUCAAACCUUUAAAAACAAAGGUUAACCAUUGAAGGUGAAAAUGACACACUUGGAAAGUAAACAAGUUGAAAGCAAAUCUUGUAAACAAGACAUGUAACACCUGGUUUUCAAUAAAUCUAAAAUUUAGAAUGAAUAAGGGAUUAAAUUGAAAGAGACCGCAAGUUGACAACCUAUAUUGGGAGAAAUGAGAAAGUUAAAAACUGAAUUGGACAAGGUUGAGAACUCAACCAGCUGAUUCAUUAGUAGGAGACAUCAUAAUUAGCUAUGGACGGCUCUCAUAAGAUUGUAAUUAGCGCAAUAAGGGCUUUAAAUAGCUAGGAGAUGGGUUCCCAUGGAUGAUUUUCUUCCCAAACUUGUUCCAAUUUCUCCCGUUCUUCAUCUUCUUCGAUGGCCCGAAGAAGGAGUAGCCAUGGAAGGUUUUGCAUGGAGAAGACUUCACGGGAAUGGAGUUAGAAAAGUAAGACAACCAGCAAGUGGGUAAGGUUCUUAACCAUUUUGUGUAUGUAGGACAAAGUUAUGGGCAUCGGAACUAUUUUAAGGAUUUUGCAUGUUUUUAGAACGUAGGUUUAAGCUAAGAAUAUGGAGUAUAACGCAUGGCUUUUGGUUGGAAUGUUUAUAUUUUGUCAGGAGAAUAGAAGAUCUAAUAUUUAAGAAGGCAUAGUCAAUCUAAAGAGAUAUUUACACCGAAUAACAACCCACCGAAAGAAAAUAAGUGACCUAUAAAAUAUUUCCCUUAAAUACUUCUCCAUUCCCAAUAGUGAAAUAGAAACAUUGCUCUAUCAAUACACAUUUUCCCUCUUUAACAUCUUCUCCUUUCAAACACUUUACAAUACCUUCUUCUCUUCCAUCAUCUAUGGUUCUCAACCCUCUAAAUCAAGCACCAUAUUAAUCUCCUCCAACUUUUAUUCCUCAAAAAAAAUAUAAUUUUUAUGAAAAAAUUGAAUAACACAUGAGUGAAAGUCUAAACUAUAACUACAAUUUGAAUUAAUUGGUUAGGUAAAGAGGAUAUGUCUUUUAUCUCCAUCUUUUGUUAAAGUAAAUAAAUACAUAUAGAAAAUAUAAAAUAACUGCUCUCAUAAAAAUAUUAAAAUCUUAUAAAUUAUAAUUUUAUAAAAAGAUAUUAAAAAUAUUUUAACGAAAAAGCUUACAAAAUGGAAUUCGGUAACAGAUAUUUUAAAUAUAAUAAUUAAUCUCAAUUAAGGAAAAAGAGAUUUUACAAAUAUUUAAAUUGAUUUGUUUUAGUAAUUUAUUUCUUUCAUAGUGAAAUAUUACUAUUGGAUCGUAACUAAAAGAAAUUACAUUUAAUUAUAGAAAGUAAGAUAUGUUAAAUAAUAUUAUUUUUAAAAAGUUUAAGGUUUUAAUAAAUAAAUAUAUUUAUAAUAAAAUAUGAAGACAUGGUUCGUGAACUAGGAUAGUAGGAUCUCGUUCGGUGGGAGAGAGGAGUAAAAAGAAACUCUUUGAUUACUAAUCAUCCAACAAAAGGAUCUGUCCUCAUCCUUAUCUACUAUCCCCGUCUUAUGGAAACUCUUUAGCUGUUUUAAUCACCUUUUCUAUUUAACCAAAACACAGACCACUGCCUCUUUCUCUUGAUUUCCUUUUUGUUUUCCUUCAAAGCAGUUCUCUUUUGAUUUCAUUUAAAAUUAUGGGGGAUUUAUCUCUUCCUAAUGACGCCCUCUUCCUUGGAUUUGAUAGUUCUACUCAGUAAGCUCUCUCUUUCAUCUCCUUUUAGUUACAUGAUCCAAAUUCCAAUGUCAUUAAACUACCUACUUGUUCAUGUUAUAAUGGUCAAAAAAAUGUUUUUUUUUAUAAAUAAAAAUAGGCUGAAAAUUUGUGGCUUUUAUGAUCAGGGUUUAGAUUCUAAUCCGAAAACUGGAAGAACCCAUGUAGCCAAAUAGCGGAUUUGUUGUUAUGUUGUAAAGAAAUUGAGUUGUAGAAGCUGUUAUGAUCAAGUUUUAAUGAUUAUCCAAUUGGGUUCAAUUGAUGUUUUGUUAUUCUUUAGGACUCUGCUGGAUGAAAAAUUAGGAUCUUUUUAAGCUGAUGUUUUGAUCUUUUUAUUUUUCCCCCUUUGAGUAAAGGUCGUUGAAGGCAACUGUUUUGGACUCCAAUCUCGUUAUUGUUGCUUCAGAGAUGAUCCACUUUGACUCUGAUUUGCCUCAUUAUAAGACCAAGGAUGGUGUUUACAGAGACGCUAAUGUUAAUGGCAUAAUUGUUUCACCCACCAUAAUGUGGGUGGAGGCUUUGGAUCUUAUUUUUCAAAGGCUUUCUAAAUCAAAUUUGGAUUUUGGGAAGAUUGCUGCCGUUUCUGGUAGUGGACAGCAACAUGGCAGUGUUUAUUGGAACAAAGGUAGUUCUGCAUUGUUAUCAUCAUUGGACCCCAAGAAGCCAUUAGUUGAUCAGCUCCGCGAUGCCUUUUCUGUUAAGGAAUCACCGAUAUGGAUGGACUGCAGCACAACUGCUCAGUGUAGAGAAAUAGAGAAAGCUGUCGGUGGUGCAUUGGAGUUGUCUAAAAUUACUGGUUCUCGUGCUCAUGAGAGAUAUACAGGACCACAAAUUCGGAAGAUAUUUGAGACACAACAAGAAACUUAUGAGAACACUGAGAGGAUCUCUCUUGUUAGCUCUUUCAUGGCUUGUCUAUUCUUAGGGGCUUAUGCUUGUAUUGAUACAACUGAUGGUGCAGGGAUGAACUUGAUGGAUAUAAAGCAAAGGGCUUGGUCUAAAGCUGCAUUGGAGGUUUGUUUUGCAUGCUAUCUGAUUUUUUGUGGUUUAUUUAUCAAUCUCUGAAUCUUUUUCAUUGAUUUUUCUUAUGUUAAGGUUGUUAUUUUUUAUGUUAAACAAUGAAUAAUGGUAUUAUUGAACUUUAACUCUAUUACAGGCUACAGCUCCAGGUUUGGAGGAAAAGCUUGGAAAGCUAGCUCCUGCACAUGCUGUUGCUGGUUCUAUAGCAUCCUAUUUUGUGGAGAGGUUAGUGGCAUCUUUUUGUUGGAGGUUCACCUUUGUUGAUUUGUUACCGACAUUUCAAAGGGUUAAAAAUUGGUAUUUAACUUUACUAUUUGCAUUCUCUUUUGUGAUGAACAACACUCUGCAUGUGGGUUAUAGGGUGUAUGGCCUUCAAAUUGUUAGGGCCUAUGUAUGUAUACUGAUAAAGUAUUUGCUUGACCAUGCAUAUAGUUGUGGGCAGUGGUUGUGUAUAUGAGCUCUUAUACUGAAUGAAGGCAUAUAUUUCCCAGCAUGCAUUGGUAUAAAUUAAAAUACCUUUCUUUUUUUCUUUUUUUGUAUUUGUUCAUACUUGUGCCUGUAGAGACAGGUUGAAACUCAUUAAUGUCUUUUCAGGUAUAAGUUCAAUAAGAAUUGCUUGGUGGUUCAGUGGUCUGGAGACAAUCCUAACAGUUUAGCAGGUCCAUGAUUCUCUUCAUCUAUUAUUAAUUGAAUUCUCUAUGUGACUUAGAUCUUCACUACUCAAAAUUGUUCUAGUUUUCUAAUCAAUCCCUAAUGUAUGUUUAUAGCAGUCUCCUCUCAAUAUGCACUUAAGUCUAUAGUUAAAUUUGGUAUUAUUCUCUCCAAAUAUUCAAUCUAUCACAUAGAAGAGAAUAGAGCGUAAUAUGUAUUGGCAACCAAAUUGAUAUGCACUUAAAAUGCAUUUAAUCUAUUAAAUAUUCAAAUAUUUAGUCUAUAUUUCUUCUGUUUUCAUCAACUAAAAUAGUUUGGGCCUGCAGGUUUAACUCUAAACACCCCUGGGGAUCUAGCAAUCAGUUUGGGCACCAGUGACACUGUAAGUGCUAUUUAUGCCUCCUUAUUUGAUCAGUGAUUGUCUCCAUGCUUACAAUGAGUCAAAGAAUCAAUGUAAGCAACAUCACCUGAAUCUUUUAGUUUGUUUAAGUCCCAACCAUGUCAACAAAGAUUCCUGUUUGAACUUUUAAGUGGUAGGGCCUAUACUUCUCAGAGUUCAUGUCUGACACUCCCCUGAAGUUUUUGGUUGUUUGUUUUUUGCUUUGACCAUACAACUAAGCCAGAAUGUUGUUUUUUGGAAGAGUUAACUUUUCAUGAUUCUAAUCGCAUGCAUUACUGAUAAUAAUAUUUUGCUUUGUGUUUCUUUUACUUCUUUGUUUCCUGUAAUCUUCUGAAACUUUCUAAAAUGAUUUUAAGGAGAUAGAAUUUUCCUUUGGAAAUUGUCAAAGUUACACUUUCAAGUUCUUAUUGUUUAGUCUACCGUGCAAAGAAGUGUUGAUGUCUGUCUUAAGCUGUGCCCUCAUGGAUGUAUUCCAACUUGAUUCUGCCAUUUCUUGUUGCAGGUCUUUGGAAUCACCAAGGAUCCUCAACCUGGUUUAGAAGGGCAUGUUUUCCCGAAUCCUGUUGAUAUAGAAGGCUACAUGGUAAUGUUGGUCUACAAAAAUGGGUCUUUGACACGUGAAGGUAUCAGAAACUUCCUCCUAUUUGUUUGGUAUUAAGCUGGUUGUGUAUUUAUCUAACAAAGUCUCCAUGUUUAUAGAUGUACGUAAUUGCUAUGCUGAGAAAUCUUGGGAUGUUUUUAACAAAUUUCUCGAGCAAACUCCUCCACUAAAUGGUCAGCAAAUUAUAUCUUCUAAGGCCAUUUCCUGUGUAUGAGAGUUAUUUGUUCUUUAUUUCUUAUUCUAUUUCUUGCAACAGGUGGGAAGAUUGGUUUCUAUUACAAGGACCAUGAGAUUCUUCCUCCAAUGCCUGGUGGGUUUCAAGUUUUUUCUUGCAGGUCUUAGGUUUGAGUAAUGAAAUUCCAUGGGUUGUGUAGUUUCAUAGCUAUAUUGCUAACUAAUAAUGAAAGUCAUUAAAAUAAUGGAAUUCGCAAGAACAAGAUAGGAAACUUUUAUGAUGUGGUAAGUUGAUUACACUUGCAAUCUGGAAUGAAGCACAUGUAUGUGAUAAUUUAUAUUGUUGAGCAAUCUUCAAUCUGCUGAAGUUUGUGUAUUUCCUAGGCCCAAUGAUUAUCUUAAAGCUACUUUUUUGAUAUUCAGUUGGCUUCCACCGCUACAUUCUUCAAAAUUUCAAUGGUGAAACUCUGGAUGGCUUGAAUUUACAAGAAGUCCAAGAAUUUGAUCCUCCUUCCGAGGUAAAUUAUUCGUGAAAUAAUUAGUUUUUUUUUUUUAUACAUUGAUGAGUAUCACUAUCGCUGUUUCUUGAAAAACAAUGGGUUUUGUUUGCAGGUUCGCGCCUUGAUUGAGGGCCAAUUUCUGUCGAUGCGUGCUCAUGCAGAAAGGUUCGGAAUGCCUUCUCCUCCAAAACGAAUCAUUGCUACUGGUGGGGCGUCAGCAAAUAAAAGCAUUCUCAGCUCAAUUGCAUCAAUCUUUGGCUGUGAUAUAUAUACGGUUCAAAGACCUGGUAAGUUGUUGCUAUAUGUACUUAUCCUUCUUUUAAGUCCAUGAAUUUAUCCUUUUUUGCCAUUCUUUUUGUUAUAUCUGAAGUCCGAAUUACAUGAUUACCACAUGCUUUGUUAAAUUAAUCAGAUUCAGCAUCUCUGGGAGCUGCAUUGAGGGCUGCUCAUGGUUGGUUGUGCAACAAAAGGGGCAGUUUUGUGCCGAUAUCUUGUAUGUACAAGGAUUUAGACAAGACAUCCCUGAGCUGCAAGCUCUCGAUGGCUGCUGAAGACCAGAAACUGGUUUCCAAGUAUGCUUUAUUGAUGAAGAAGAGAAUGGAACUAGAGAAUAACCUUGUCAAAAAGUUGGGACGGUACUAGAAGUCAAUAAUAGUGUGUUAUAUCUCGUGAUUUUUAGGUACUAUCAGAGUUCAAUUCAAAUUUAACAUGGACAUUGUUAUAGUUUUUUUUUUCCUUUUAUUUAAAUCAUUGCAAAUAAAAGGUAUUAUCAGAGUUCAGUUAAAAAGAAAGAGGUUUGUCAUAUUUUUUAACUUGGAUAGGCAAUAAUGGGAACCCGAAUGUUUGGUCCAUUGGUAAAAAGUGUUUAUUUGUGAUUCAAGAAUUUCCUUUUAUUUACUCUUGCCAAUGAUGUCAAGUUGAUCGCCAUAGUGCUUGCGCGGUGAGGAAAGCCUUAAAUCUAUCUUCCUUAAUACCUGCCAAAUAUUGAUCGGAUCUCAACGAUCUUCCUAACAGGAAACAUUGACGUGCAGUGUAAUAAAAGUAUCAUGAUGACUCUUAUAUGAAAAGUCAAAAUUACAUUUUAUUUAUUUUUUACUAAAAAUGACAUGAUUUAAAAAUCUUAAAAAAAUAAUUUAUUAUUUUUUGAGUAGAAUAAAAUAAAAUCUAAGGGCUUCGAUCUUAUAAUUUUACCGUGCACUUUAUUCAUAGAAAAUACCAAAAACUAGUACAUCAUCCGAGGUAUUCAACCCUGAAAACACAUAUCCAAAAUCAACAAGAAAAUACAUCACAGUAGCAAACGGAUAACGGUACAUCCCUCAAUACUCCUCCUCAUCCCCUUCGUCUCCUUCACCAGACUCAGCGCCAACUUCUUCAUAAUCUUUUUCCAGUGCAGCGAGAUCUUCACGUGCCUCAGAAAACUCUCCUUCCUCCAUGCCCUCACCAACAUACCAGUGCACAAAUGCACGCUUGGCAUACAUGAGAUCAAAUUUAUGAUCAAUGCGGGAAAACACUUCCGCAACGCUGGUUGAGUUGGAGAUCAUGCAGACAGCUCUCUGAACCUUGGCAAGGUCCCCUCCUGGAACAACAGUUGGUGGCUGGUAGUUGAUACCGCACUUGAAUCCAGUAGGGCACCAAUCCACAAAUUGGAUUGUGCGUUUGGUCUUAAUGGUGGCCACAGCCGCAUUCACAUCUUUGGGCACAACAUCUCCUCGGUACAUAAGGCAGCAAGCCAUGUACUUCCCGUGUCGUGGGUCACAUUUGGCCAUCAUUGAAGAGGGUUCAAAAGCACUGUUGGUUAUCUCAGCCACCGAUAGCUGCUCAUGGUAAGCCUUCUCAGCUGAAAUGACAGGGGCAUAAGAAGAAAGCAUAAAGUGGAUCCUGGGAUAUGGGACCAGGUUAGUCUGGAACUCAGUCACAUCCACAUUCAGGGCUCCAUCAAACCUCAAAGAUGCGGUAAGAGAUGAGAUAACCUGAAUCAUACAUGCCAAAACACCGCAUGUAUGAACAACAAUCAUUAAAUUUUAUAACAUAAAGACGAGUAUUUUAGUAAAAAUGCUUAUAGUUACCUGAGAGACAAGGCGGUUAAGAUUGGUAUAAGUGGGUCGUUCAAUGUCCAAAGAACGCCUGCAGAUGUCAUAUAUUGCUUCGUUAUCCAGAAGAACAGCGACAUCAGUGUGCUCAAGGAGCGAAUGAGUGGACAGCACACUGUUGUAAGGCUCUACAACUGAUGUAGAAACCUGAGGUGAAGGAUAGACAGUGAAACCAAGCUUCGACUUCUUUCCAUAGUCAACAGAGAGACGCUCCAAGAGAAGAGAUCCAAGACCAGAACCAGUACCACCACCAACAGCAUUGAAAACCAAGAAGCCUUGGAGCCCAGUACAGUUAUCAGCAAGUUUUCGGAUACGAUCCAAGCAGAGAUCAACAAUCUCUUUGCCAAUUGUAUAAUGGCCACGAGCGAAAUUGUUGGCAGCAUCUUCUUUGCCACUGAUGAGUUGCUCAGGGUGGAACAACUGGCGGUACGUACCAGUCCUCACUUCAUCGAUAACAGUAGGCUCCAGAUCAACAAAGAUGGCGCGAGGGACGUGCUUCCCGGCACCAGUUUCGCUGAAAAAGGUGUUGAAAGCAUCGUCUCCUCCACCAACAGUCUUAUCACUUGGCAUUUGGCCAUCAGGCUGAAAAAAAUAAAAUUCUAAAAAGAUCACCACCAUUAUCCACAUUCAAAACCUUAGAUCUCGCCUAAAUUAUCUAUAGAACUGGAAUCGUUCAGCUAACAUUUCAAUUAAUCCAGAUCUAUCCAUUUUUAACGAGUCCGAUCACAAUUUACAACAACAGAAACACAAUUAAUAAAUUUAAACAUAGCCAAACCAAAUCACAAUGUUAAAAUAAUUAAGGGAAAAAAUGAAUCUAACAGCAAAAUAAAUGAAAUAUACAAAUCGGGAAAAAUAAU
rnacentral:lncRNA from 1 species